rnacentral:lncRNA from 1 species
GCUGUACUCUAAGAACUUAAUCUGAUAGAGAAUGAUGUUUAAAUAUUUUUAUAUUUAAUACUUUUCCUCACGUCUGAGCUCGAGACUUUUUGUAGGUCCAUGACAUGGACUUGAAUUUAAUAGAAGGAAAUUAAUAAUAUUAGGACCCUAACAUGACUCGAACUUAGAAUCUCCUGCUCUAAUACCAGGUGAAACAAUUGCUGUACUCUAAAAGCUUAAGACGAUAGAAAACGAUGUUUAAAUAUUUUUAUACUUAAUAUAUUAGACCGGAUUAUAAAAAGAUGAUCGUUGAUAUCUGAAAACUUAAGCUGCUACAAAAUAGUAUUUUUGAUACUUAUAUUCAGUACUCUUCCUCAUAUGUAGCCUCACGUCUUUCUGAUUGGCCCACAUUAAAUAAUGUGAACUAAUCAUUUAUCUCUACGUACAAGCUUGGACCAUUAGAGAAAUUAUAUUUUUAGUAUUUAAAUUUAACAAAAUAAGAACUCGUCUCCUAUCAAGUACAAAGACAAAUGAUUCCCCAGGUUACUUGUAAGUCAAGUGCUUAUUUGGCCGGACUUUUCUGCUCUAUGUUUGGUAUAUGUUCCCCUUCAAACAUUAUAAAUUUAAUUAUUUUUAAUUAUUUUUUAUAAAUAAAAUUGAAAUACUUAGUGGCUGGUAGUGAGGAAGGCCACUUUGAGCUUCACUCAAGUUCAAUUCGAGCUCGGGCACAUUUCGAUAUUACUUAAUCUAAUUUCGAUCAAAGCGGUUUGCGGAGUUAGUCGUCUUUGACGAAAAUGGAGAUGGUUGACGUGCUAAAAUUCUUAUAUAAACAACACUUUUAUGAAAACUCCCGUUGAACUAAACGAUACAUAUUAAAAAUACAUGGAAAACAGAUGGGGUUUAUUUGGAGGUAAAAAUAUAUAAAACUUGCUCGAACUAUAGACCAUUUGAAUUCGACUGACUAUUCAAUUUUUAAAAAUUUUAAUUUUAAAAGAAAAUUCUUCUAAUUUGUCUAAGGUAAGUCAUUUGAUUGGUUCUUCCACUGCAAAAUUUAAGGCAACUGCUCAUUAAUAAAUUUAUAACUGCAUAAAUAACAUAAAAUAUGCUACUUAAGUCGGUCUACGAUACUUUGACUUCAAAAAUUUAUCUUCCAGCUUUGACCAUUUGGACCAUUAAUAUUUGAGUUGAACUUAUCAUCCAACUGUUCAAUUUUAUUUGAUUUGAGCCGGUCUACGAUACUUUGACUUUAAAUUUAAGUUAAUUGCUAACAUCAGUAAAAAUAUUGUUGCGAGAAGUACAUAAAAUAUGCUAAACAACCGACAUAUUCAAAUCAAAUUCAAAAUACUGCUGAUCAACUCAAAUUACACAGAUUGACAAAUCGGUUAGUAAAAUAAAAUUUCAAAAAAAAUUAAAUAGCCCACUCAAAAUAAUUAAUAAUUUUAAAAACAUUUGUAUGUUUUUACGUGACCUACUACUACAACCUAGUCCUACAAAUAGUGUCAUGUGUGCUUCCAAAAAGGUUAAAACGACCACAUGAAUGUUGUGUACGAAGAUGGUCCUGUGGACCUAGGGAUGUAAAACGGGCCGGGCCGCACGUGGGCCACCCGGCCUGACACAGCCUUGGGCCGGGCUACAGCAUGGCACGAAUACUGUAGUACUAUUGCCUGGCCAGCCCGGUCCAAUCCUCUGGGCCGUGCUGGGCCCAUCCCUUUGGCCGAACAGUUCGGCACGGCACGGGCAUAGCCCGAGACAGGCCUAGGCCGUGCCGAAGUGAGGAGAGGGGGGUGGCUCGACACAGCACGGCCUACUUGGGCCGAGCCAGCUAGGCCGGCACGGUCCGGACCCUAAGGCCCGAGGCAAGUUACUGCCCGCUUGGACCAAAGAAUUUUGGUCUAUUGGACCAAAAACCCAUCUUACUUUUUUUUCAAAAAAAUAAUAUAAUUUUUUUUUAUUUUUUUAAAAACUAAAUAUUUAUUUUAUUAUAAUUUUUUUAUAAAUUUUUAAUAAUUUUAUCAAAAUAUAAAUUUAUUAUUUAUAUUUUAAAUUUUAUACUAAAAAUGUUUAAAAAAAUUUUAAAAAUAAAUAUUUUAAAAGGCCGGUUCGAAGCACGGCUCGUGCCUUCCAGGCCGAAGGGCCGUGCUGGGCCAUAGGCUAGGCAGCUUGGGCCCAGCACGGCAUGACCCCAAAAUGAAGUUGGGUCGGGCCAACCCCUAGCCCGUUUCGGCCUGGCUAAUGUGGGCUGUGCCGGCCGGGCACGGCCCGCAUUACACCUUCAUAUAUAUAUAUAAUAUAUAUAUAUAUAUAUAUAUAAUAUAUAUAUAUGAAGAGAGGAAAUAAAAAAUUAUAUAUAUAUUUUAUAUUUUUAUUAUAUAGUGUUCAGUAUGAUAAUUAUUAUUAUUAUAAUAUAUGAUAUAUGGAAUAUUAAAAAAAAUAUAUAAUUUUUAUUAUUUUUUUACUUUUUUCCUUCAAACCAAACAAUUGUGCGGAAAACUACUUUUCAUUUUCUACCAACCAAAUACUAAAUAGCGAAAAUUUUUUUCUAUCACAAAAAUUUUUCCACAAAAGUAUUUUCAUUUUACGUAGAAUCAAACAACUUAAAAGUUUCGUGCUAUUAAUAAUAUAGUAACAGACGCUAAGUAUAUAUAUAUUAAUAUAUAUAAUAGGAAGAGAGAGAGAGAGAGAGAGAGAGAGUCCGGCUAUGGUGCUUGUACAAGCCAAGCAGUUGGUGCUUAUAAAUUUUUCACCGUUAGAUUUAUGUCUUUGAUCAUUUUUAUUCGUUAGAUUAUAGCUAUUCAACAACCACCCAGUCAACCCUGGGGGACCCAAAUCAUCCUAACACACAUCCCUUAAUCCAAGGGCCAAAAACUAAAGCAUCAAUGACUUGAUACUUUAAAAGUUAGGAGCUUAAGUGUGGGUCGGCGCACCCUAGCCCGUUCGGCUUGCUAAUGUGGGGGCUGUGUUCGGCUUCGCGGCACGGCCCGCAUUUACACCGCUAUAUAUAUAUAUCAUAUAAUAUAUAUAUAUUAUAUAAAUAUAUAUAUAUAAUAUUGAGAGAGCAGGAGAAUAAAAAAUUAUUAUAUAUUCUUUAUAUUCUUUAAUUAAUGUUAGUGUUACAGUAUGAAAUUAUUAUAUAUUAAUUAAUAUAUGAUAUAGAUAUUAAAAAAAAAUUAAUUUUUAUUUAAUUGUUACUUAUUUUUCCUUCCAACAAACAAUUGUGACCGGAAAACUACUUUUCCAUUUUCCAGACAAUACUAAAUAGCGCUAAAAUUUGUUUCAUCACUAAAAAUUUUUUCCCAAAAAGUAUUUUUCACAAUUUUACGUAGAAGUUCAAACAAUUAAAAGUUUUCUGUGACUAUUAAUAAGAUAUAGUUAACAGCGCUAAGUAAUAAUAUAUACUAUAUAUAGUAAGAGAGAAGAAGACGGAGAGAUGAGACGAGACGAGAGACGAGAGCAGGCAGUCCGGCUAUGGGCUGGUGGGAUUGUACAAGCACCAAGCGUUCGGUGCCUUAUAAAUUUUUCACCGUUAGAUUAUGUCUUUGAUCAUUUUUAUUCGUAUAGAUUUAUACUAUUCAACAACACCAUGUCACCCUGUGAGACCGACCCAAAUCAUCUACACACAUCCUUUAUCAAGUUGCGCCAAAAAACUUAACAGCAUCAAUGACUUGAUACUUUUAAAAGUUAUAGGAGCUCUUCUCUCUCUCUUCUCUCUCUCUCUACUUUCUCUCUCUCUCUCUCUCUCUCUCGUAUACUAAUAUAUAAUAUAUAGAUAUAUUGUUCUGAGUAUAUGGCUCUUUGUAUUUAUAAGAAUUUACUCACCGCUCUAGAAUUUAUCAUCUGAUCAUUUUUCUUGUCUAAAUCAAUAUUCAAUUAACACCUCACUCAAUCAUGGAAUCAUAUUAUCCUAACCACACAUUACUUCAACUCAGAAUGACUUCGAAAACUUACCGAGUACAAAGGAAUCUAUAGUCAUGAAGAAUAUAAUUAACUACUCGGCCUAUAUAUAAAGAUGCGACUACUUAUAUAUAUUUUUUUUUUUAAGAGAUAAGAUUUAGCAUGCUAUCCUCUUCAUAUUUUUUAAUAGAAAAUAAAAUCUAGGGCUUGAUGUUUGGUUCCGACCUGUAACUAUGGCAAAAAAAAUUUUGGUAAAAAAAAAUUUUACAGUCAGUUUUAUGUUUGGUUUUUAAUUUAAUAUUAUAAAUAAAUUUAUAUAUAUUUAUAAAUAAACAUUAGUAUAAUAAUAUAUUUUAUAAAAAAUAAAUAAAAUAAAAUUAUAUAAGAUAUACUAUAUAAUAAAUAUAUAUAUUAUACUAGCGAGUCCGGCUACUAUACUAUUAUGAGUACGAUCGCCCUCGCUACUAUAAGUUGUUUUCGAUGAUAGAGCUUCGAUCGACGAUCACCCACGGUUAAACGGUUAUUUACGAGAUUAAAACUCUAGAAAGCAAAUUUAUAAUUUUCGAACAUCAUUUACUUACGAUCAAGAGGUCAGCAAAUUUCGACAAUUUUUACGGCCGGCGUACGGAGAUACUUUGCUUAGUUUUAACGGUGUGUAAAAGAAUCGGAAAUUUGUGUAUUUUUGAUAGAAUUAUUCACUACAUAGAAUAAAUAUCAAUAAUCUGAUCUUGAAUUGAAGAUUCCGAUCAUCUUUUUAGUACGCUCGCUUCAGAUUUGACGUUAAUUUUUAUGCCAUUGAUGGACGUUAUUCAUGAUUAUCGAAAUUUACGAAUUUAUUUUUUCUAAAAAUUGGUCUAAUACUUAGAUCAUAUUGUACGGGAGUGAUCGUCGAUUCGGAAGCCGUCCAUCAUUGAAAACAAUUAUGAGGACCGAAGCGUCUCCAAUACUCAUAAUAUAGGUAUGCUAUAUAUAUAUAUAUAUUAUAAUAUAUAUAUAUAUAUAUAUAUAUAUAUAUAUAUAUAUAUAUAUAUAUAUAUUAUAAUUAAAAAGGGAGAGAGAGCUAGGUUCACUGCUCUCUCUCUCUCUCUCUCUCUCGGUCCACGAGGUGAAGAACACCUCGUGGAUCGCGUACAAAAGGCAGCACAUCAGCCACGCCAUGUGAGCCCCGUGUUUUUCACUAUAGCUUUUCGUUUUCCGCUUCGUCGGAGCGAAAAACAAAAACGCUAGUUUUCUGCAUUUUCGUAAAAAAAAAUUUUUGAGAAAAUUUUUUUACACAAAACCAAACAAUGGAAAAAAAUUUUCAACUGAAAAAAAUUUUCGGACUGCUUUUACAUGGAUCCAAACACGUCCUUAGCUGAAAAUGUGAAUCACCUAGGAUUUAAAUUUGGGACCUCGGGUACCAACCACGAAACCUUUUAGCACUUGCGCCGGGGACAGUCUGUACUAUAUAUAAAAUUUUCCCUUGAGGGAUUGAUGGACCAACCCGAUUGAAGAGCAUGAAGCCAAGGUCGACGUCGACGCUGUCGACGGCGACGGUCUUCGCGUGGCCGCCCAAGAAAUCCUCCUUCUCGUAAACCACGACCUCCGCGCCGGCCUUGGCAAGCGCAUACGCCGCAGCCAUUCCGCUUAUCCCCGCCCCGACCACCGCCACCCGCUGCCGCCGCCGCAUUCUCUCUCUCUCUCUCUCUCUCUCUCUCUCUCUCACACACACACACUCAAAAGAGAGAGAAAAAAAAAAAAGAGUAACAAACAACUAAAAACAGACCAGCUAAACAACUAGAUGAAUGUUUUAGAAAAUGGAGACUAAUAGAAAGAGAUCUAUAAAAGAAAAAAUUUUGAAAAAAAAAAAGUUUGUAGUGGAGAGAGAGGGGGUUUUGAGAGAGAGGCAACGUGAUAGGAGAGGAAGCUGCCCCUUCCCGGGCUCUUGGGCGUUUUAAAUUUAAAAGGAAAAAAAAUCAUUAAUUGUUAGCAGAAAUAAAUAAAUAAAUAAAUAUGUAUUAACCCAACCCUACAAUAAUAAUAACAAUAAUAAUAAUAAUAAUAAUAAUAAUAAUUGUAUUAAUGUUACAACCAGUGAAUGCACUAAUGCGUUGCUAUUGGUCGGUUCCAUAAAAAUAAAUAAAUAAAUAAAAAUAAAAAAUAAAAAAAAAGAUUUAAAGGAAAAAGAAAAGAAUAUAAAUAAAAGAAAUUGAAGAAUAAGCAGUAGUUGUUACAGUAAAAAUAUAAGAAUAAAAAUAUAAGAAUGAUAAAAAAUAUUAUAAAAAUAAUAAAUUAUGUUUAUAGUAGUAGUAAAAAUUGAGGUUUAAAAUAUCAUAUAUCUCAUAAUUCGAGUCAAAAACUGCGAUUAAUAAAGUUUUGGAGAUUAAAGUAUUACGUUCCUCAUACUUUAAGUAAGAAAAUGUAACACAUUGAAUUUCGAGGACUAUAAUGCUGUCAAGGGUACAUCUUAUAAUUUGAAAGCGAAAAUUAUUAUUAUUCCAGAUGAAGACAAAGUUGAGUAUUAAUCAGUUUCGCUCAAUUAAUUUCAUUCGAGAAAAUAAUAUGUUAAACUAUCUAAUAAAUUUUAGAAUAUCUAAUUGUUAAAAUUAAAAGUCGAUUAAUUAUAUUUUCGACAUUCUAAAAAAUUUUAAACUUGAAAUUGAUCGUUCAUCAGACUAUAAAUAUGAAAUUAAAAAUUGAUAUUAAAAUUAAAAUAAAAUCAUAUAAAAUUUUUCAGAACUAGUAACCAUUUCGAGACAUUUAUCCAACCUUUCAAAAUUUCGUUUUUUACCAUCCAACCACUCUAUAUGUUAGAUUUGAGUUAGUCAAUAAUAUUUGACUUCAAAAUUUGAAUGCGUCGUUUAGCUUACAGAUUUACUUUAUAUAAUUCUCGCAACUAAAUUUAUUAAAAUAAAUAGUUAAUUUAAACUCUAAUCUAUCUUUUAUUUUUAUUGUGCAAUCUAUAUUCAAGUGAUUAAUAGUAUAGCAUAAAAAUUUAUAUUUAAUAUAUACAAUCUAAAUUAUCUAAAAUUUAUCUGUAAAAAAGUAUACAUUUUAAAUUCUUAUAAUGAAGAAUUAAAUUAAAUUUAAAAAAAAGCACAAUCUCUCAUAUCUAAAUUGGUGAAGGAAAAAAAUAAAAUAAAAAAAUAAAAAUGCUGGGCCCACCUCCUUCCGACUGGGCUCCCCACUAGGUACAAUCUAAAUUAUUUAAAAUUCACCUGUAAAAAAUUAUAUAAUUUAAAGUGUUAAUUACAUAUAGAUCCCUGCAAAUAUAAUGAAUUAUAGAUAUAUUUCUACAAAGUUUAACUUUCAUAUAUUUUUUCUACAAAAGUCUUGAUGUUUUCAAAUUUAUAUCUUUGCCGCUAGAAUCCGUUAGAAAAAUUUAGUUAACCAUAAAAUAAAUAGUUGAUCCUGGUUAGUUAAUAACGUGAAUUGACCUUCUUAUCUAUGUUCAAUUAACUUUUGAAAGAACAAAUAUAUGAUGACAAAAAAGUCAAUUCACUUAUAAAAUAGAUAUUAUUUUAAUGGUAACAAACCAAAAAGAGAUAUUUGAAAAUAUUAAAACUUUUGUGGGAAUAAUAUAUGAAAAUUAAACUUUAGAGAAAUAUAUUUACAGUUUAUUAUGUUUGCAUCGACCUAUAUAAAACUAAUCCUAUUUUAAAUUUUUAUAAUAAAAGGCUGGGCUCACGCCCACCUGCAACUCCCACACCCCGUCCUUCGUCCGUCACGUUGGCCGACAGGACUGGAAGGAUAGAAAAUUCAUUAUAUAAAAUAGAUAUAUUUGAAAACAUUAAGGCUUUUAUACAAAUAAUAUAUAAAAGUUGAACUUUAGAGAGAUAUAUUUACAAUUUACUAUAUUUGCAGUGAUGUGUGUAAAAUUAACUUUAUUUUAAAUUUUUGGAAAAACUUCAAAUAUCCUCCUCGUGGUUCCACACUUUCUCACUUUAGUACCCAUGUAGUUUAAAGUGCAUCAAGUUAGUACCAUGUGGUUUCGCACUUUCUCACUUUAGUACUCUGUGGUUUCAAGUGCAUCAAGUUAGUACCCUGUGGUUUCGCACUUUCUCACUUUAGUACCAUGUGGUUUAAUAUUUUGUUAAAUUAUAUACCCCGAAAUGGAUAAUAAAAAAAAAAAAAGAAACCGUAGGAUACUAACUUGACACACUUGAAACCACAGAAUACUAAAGUAAGAAAGUGCGAAACUACAAGAUAUUAAUUUGAUACAUUUGAAAUUAAAGAGUACUAAAAUGAAAAGUUACGAAACCAUAAGGGGGUAUUUGAAGUUUUUCCUAAAUUUUUAUAAUAAAAGGCUGGACUCACACCCACCUGCAACCCCCACACCCCGUCCCCAGUCCGCCACGUUGGGCCUGUCAGGACUGGGAAUCCAUUGUGUACUUCAUUAUGUGCAAUAGACAAUACAGCCAGGGUUGCGUGUACAUCAAAAGUGGCAGCGUGAUUCCAUCUGCGGUUACUGUACAUUCUUUAUUUUAUGUUCUGACAUAAAUUAAAGUGCUGACAUAAAAAGAUUCAUCCAACAAUUUUAUAUCCAUAUACAGAGGCGUCAACUAGACGAAAACGAGCAAGCGGGUGCCAGCUCGUGUCCGAUUCGUUUUAUAAACAAGUCGAAUACGAUCCAACUUGUUAAAAUAUUAAAUUAAAAAAUUUAAUUCGUGUUCGACUCGUUAACAAAAAGCAAGCUCACGAGUUGGACAACGAAUAAUAAAUUAAAACGAUUAGAUUGGGUAUAUAUAAAAAAUAUAUUUAUAAAAUCUUACCCAUUAGGUUUUAUUUAAUGAUUGAAACUUUACAUAUAACCGAGUCUUCUUAUAAUUCAGUUUGACUUUAUAUUUUGAUUUUGCUAAAAAUUAAAUAAUAAAAAUGUAUAUCACAUAUAAAAUUAUUCAUAUAUAUAUAAAAGUAUAUUAUAAAAUAUAUAUUUUCGAGUUGGUAUCAAGUCGAACACGAGCGUACUACUGAUCCAAGCUCGUGUUUGGUUAGUUUAUUAAACGAGUUGAAAAACUCGACUCCCUAGCCAGAUCUGGCAGCGGCGAGGAUCGUGCCGCGAAUCCCGGCUGGAGGUCGGAGAGACCGCGGAUCCCGGCAGGGAGAUCGGACGGCGGAUCGCGGAGAGAGAAAAAGAGGGGGGGACAGCGCGGAGGGGAAAAAACAAAAGCGAAAGAUCGCGCCGCGUAUCCCGGCGAAUCGGCGUGGGGAGAUCGGAGAGAGAGAGCGAGAGGCGGGGAGCCAGGUCACCCGUGCCGGCGCCGGCUCGCGCCCGGCCCGCGCCGACUCGCGCCAGCACCGGCGCCCGCUCGCGCCCCGGCUCGCGCCCGCGCCCGUCCGCGCCGGCGCCUCCGCUCCUCGCUGGUGGGCCCCACCGGAACCCCCGAAACGCGGGGAGUCUCCGUACACUCCCCUUUCAUUAUUUGUAUAGAUAUAGAUAGAUGGUUCGUUGUCCAGAAUAUAAUGAUGUAACAAUUUUUCUUACUUUAGCCAAAAUAUAAUAAGUGAAAGAGACCAAACAAUCACCGAUUUAUCGGAGUAUUUCACAUGUGAUUUACGCCCAAUGAGCGACGUGGGAAUAGAAAUCUAAUAAAAAGCGAAAUGAUAAUUUGAAAAAUAAAAUAUAGGAAACAAGAAAAAAGAAAAAGAAAAAGAAAAAAACAUUUAUGCACAUUUAGACGAGAUAGAAAUAUUUGGUUGGAUAGUGCUAUUCCAUUGGUUCACUGCCCGGGAUGUAUUAAACAAAAUGUAGCAUUAUUUAUACACACAAAGUGAGGCCAAACAAGCACUUAAUAUAUAUACUUGUGUAGCAUUACUUCCCCUUAUUUAUCUAAAGCCUAUGGGAAUAUCACCACUAAGCCGAUGGAUAACUCGCGAAGGGAUCGUUGAAGAAUUUUAGGUUACCAGGCCGCGAGAAUACCAUCUACAAAUACCAGUAACACAAUUAAACAUAGUUUUGAGUCAAUGACUUUGUAUCAAGGAUAAAUAUCUAUUCUUUUAACUGCGAAACAUACGAAAUGUAAGAAACAGUGAGCAAAUUGUUCGGAAAUUAAAUUUCGAGUCGCAUUAUAGCUGGAGAAAACAUUGAUCAGAAAAUGCAAAGAAGCAUAGACUUGUUUCAGCUGUUUAACCUGAUAGUCGGUCACUGUGCGCGAUUUGAAACCGGCCGCACAGUAGAUUAAGUAGUACUCCCACAUUCGCACAAACUUUUCAUCAAACCCCAGAGAGAGAAUUUUUCUGAAAAUCGGACAAAAAGUUUAGAUCAAAAAGCCUCAUUGUAGAACUUUAAUGACCUAUCGAUGAACUGUUAACUUUUUUCUUAUGUACCUUGUCUUUUACUAUUUAAAUUUCUAAUCUGUUAGAACUACUGAUAGUGUUUAAAUCGAAACUCUAUAACUAAUAUAUGUAUAAGCUCUCAUGAUGCUUAUCUAGUUAGGAAAGAUGAUCAUAAACAUCUAAAAUAAGAAAAGGGAUGCAUACUGUUUAUUCGCCGUAAAAUUGCUCCUCCAGCAUUGCAAUGUCUGAUAAUAAUGAAUGCCAAUAUUUUCCAGGUGCUCAACACUACAUUAGAGAAAAACUACAAUGAAGUUACAAAAAUAAAGAUGAAGGUAAGAUUAAUUCAACUGGAUCAUUUUUGAAUUACACCUCCUAAACUUGUUUUGACAUAACUCUUUUUUUUUUUUAGUUUCAUUGGCAACUGCAGUAAAAUUAACGGCUCUGGCAGUUUUAAGGUCAGCUAAAAAUUGGACAGAACCGUUAAAUAAAACAAGAUCUCUGAUGCUCUGAUGAAAAUUAAGUCGAAAUGAGCAGAAGUUGAGAAAAAAAAGAGCAGGAAAAAGAAGUUUGUGGCCCUAUUUGCAAUGACGCUAGUCGAGGGGGUCUUCAUACACUUUAAAAGAAAUGAAUAGAUAUUGCCCCAAAAGUUUGAUGCAUAUUAUUACCAUAAUCUAGAUGCAGUGGCCAUUGCCGAUGUUAUUCUACUCAAAGAAGGAACACAUGCUCCAGGGAAAAUGUAUUCCUUUAUGAAGUCAGAGCUCCUCCUGUACUCGUCGUAUCUUUUAUCUGGUACGGACGAGAACUGCAUUCAUCGCAACCAAAAUAUAUAAAUUUCUAGAUAAACUAACUAACAUGUUAAUUCAGUAAUUGGAUGAAUGUAAAUAAGCACCUGGAGGAUUAAUACACCGUCUUCAGAGAGAAUAGAUUCACCGAUUCACGACAGCCAAAAAAUUUCUCCAUGUAUUCAUGGCCGACUCCUUCAAACAUCCCACUGAAAAAUAGUAUCAACAUCACAAUUAUAGCACGUAUGCAAAUAAGUAUGAGACAGUCACUAGAAAAUUGAGUUAACAGUACCAUGAUAUAAUCCUGCCAUAUUUGUGUGAUUUUGGGAGUUGGCAGUAAUCGCAUAACAAGAAUGUAAUGCAGUCCUGAAAAUAGAUUAAAAUGAACCAAGUAACAUAAACUGAAGAAAGAGAAUUUUUUAAAAAAUUUAUUGUUCAUACUGUGCUGUAUUUUAGUCGCUGAAUUGAGUUUCAAGUGAGUUAAAGAAAAAAAAAGGACCUGUAAACCAGCUUCUUUCACUUUUUUUGUCGCAUACUUAAGUUGUUCUUCAGACAAGGUGAUUCCUGUGUAUUUGCAAUUGGUGCGCUCGCGACUUCUAUUGCUAGGCUUCCCUAUCCACAACCAAUGUCGAGAACUUCCUGCUUUCCAUCGAUCCUAGCCUUGAUCUUUUAGAGAACGAAUAACAUUGUAAGAACACAAGAAAAGAAAAUGUUAACAAAAAAAAAAAGAAAAAAAGAAAGAAAGAGAUUAAGCUACUACUUUGAAAAACUUUUACCUUUUCAAGAAGGAGAUGUAAUUUCCGUAACUGCGCAACUUUAAGUCCUCUUUCUCUGUCUGUAAAUUUUAAAUUCAGAGUGAUUUUCAGAUUUUUUGUGUGAGAAGAUAAAUGGUGAGGGGGUGAUAAUAAAGUUACAGUAUUGAACCUUAAAAAUUGCACAAGAGUAUGUCGUCAUCUCGUCCAAAAAGAGAGAAAAAAUCGUUGCUCUAUACAUACAAAAACAAAAAUAUAAGGUACUGAAGAGUUCCAUAACUAAUCAACACAGAAGAUUAGUCUUUGAGCAGAGGUAAGAGUUUUCAAAAGGUUAGUUAACAAAUUGGAGUUUGCCACAACCCUGUAUGCAUUUAGUAAACUUGCAGCAUCAUUUGGUUUAAACUUUAAACAACAAUAGCCAUACUAAUUACUAUAACAAGCAAGUGCUUGGCGAAAAGAGAAUAAAGAUCGAUCAUAUAAAGUACACUAAAAAUUAACUCCAAUCCUAACCAGAUCAUAGUGGCGAGAUAUGUUCUGAAGAGCUUGUGUUACAGUAUUCUGCCUCAAAAAUGUGCCAGAAAAAGUAUCUGGCAGAUGCGGGUCCAGCUGUCAGAAGUAACGGGGUCCACCAACCCCUAUCCAUUAUAAAAGUAAAUAAAAGCUAGUAAGGAAAUACCUUUGAUUUGGAGAUGUGAAUGGAUAUGUACAUUAAACUAGCAUUAAACAUACCUCUUAAUAAUUGCACUGUUAGAAGUACUCCUCAGAUCCCUGUUAGCAAUCAGAAUCUGCAGCAGAAGUGUGGCAAAUAAUAUGAACUAAAACAUAUGAAUCAAGUUGGCUUGAAAGAUCACUAAACAUGUUUUCUUACCAGAAAAAAGAUAUCCUGAAGUCCUUGCUCGUUAACGAAGGAAAUAUAACCAUGUAUAUAUGCAUCUGCUAACCCUAAAUGAGCUUCUGUCGCAAUCUGGCCUCAGGGAAAAAAAAGAGAAAAGAAAAGUAAAAGAAUAUGAGCUAAUCAAUAAACUAUACCAGAACCCCGAAGGAAGUCAUGUAGAAUGGCAAAAAUGAUUGAUAGUAAUUAGAAGAACCUUCCAGUAGAACAAGGGAUCGUGUAUUCUCAAAACAGAUUUAAAGAACAUUUCUCAUUGGCUUGUCCAAAACUGAAGAUACCUCCUUCUUCCAGCAGCCUGCAUUUCAUAGCAAUGCAAGAUGAAUUUAACGUAGACAUAAGACACCGCAUGCAUUGUACAACGACGAAUGUAAUGUAGUCUGGAACAUAAUGAAAAUGGCAUAAGCUACAUAUCUUUCACAAAAGCGAAAAUUUGACCAUGAUUUUGCUAAAGAAGAUUCACUGUUUUGUUAGGCCCCGUCAGGUAUUGAUGCCCAUCUAACGGUAAUAGGCAAACAAUGGAGUUGGAGCGAAAGCAUAUAGGGGUAUGCUUGUAUCGAGGAGUAAGCCUAGAACAUCCCACAAUAGAGUGGGUGGUAUCAAUGUUGUUUCGUAAGAAGAGAGAACGCAUACAGAUAUAUAUUUACAUAUAUGUUGGACUGUCUAGACUAUAUAAGCAAGCAUAACUACAAACGCCGCAACAGUUGUAGAAGCGUAAAAUUAGAGCUUAUACAUUUGGAAUUUGAAAGUCGUUAGGAAAAGUUCCCAACAUUUUGCUAGCUAAUACUUACUACAGCUGAAAGAAGAGAAGUUGUUCGUAAAGCCCAGUCCUCCUAGCACAAAAUAUCUUUCCUAAUUACAUCAACUAGUUUGAACUUGGCUUUGGCCAGGCCCUUGGACUCCACUAUGCUUCCUCCACUCCUCCCUAACUUUAUAGACCUCGUCCCACAUUUCGGCGGCCGCAUAGAGAUUCGAUACCGCGACAUACGUAUCAGAAGUCUGCUGCUUUUUCUCUAUCAUCUUUACAGCUACCUUUCUUCCAAUUUCCACAUUCUCAUGUAAUUUACAACCCCCGAGCAACGCACCAAAAAUAGAAUCACCCUCUUGAGAGUUUUUCUCUUUGUUAUAGUUCUCCACAAACUUCCAACCCUCUUCGAGCCUCCCUGCUCGCCCUAACAUAUCAACCAUGCAAGUGUAGUGAUCAAUAGUUGGAUUAAUACCAUAUCUCUCCCUCAUCAAGUCAAAAUACUGCAUUCCUUGCUCAACAAACCCACAAUGGCUACAAGCACUAAGAACAGCAAUAAAAGUAACCUCAUUUGGUUCGUAGCCUGCAUUUAUCAUUUUCUCUAACAAAUCAAUUGCUUCUAGCCCUAAUCCAUGAGAUGAAUAGCCGGUAAUCAUCGAAGUCCAAGAAACCACAUUCUUAUCUCUCAUCUGAUCAAAUACUCUCCUUGCGUAGUUCAAAUUUCCUGACUUUGAAUACAUAUCAACAAGAGCAGUUUCCACAACCAACUCAUUGGAUUGGCCGCCAAGUAGCGUUCUAAGCGCCUGAGUAUGAAUUUGUUUACCAAAAUCUAACGCGGCCAUACAACUACAGGCAUCGAGAGCAGUAGCAAAAGUGACACUGUUAGCUUGAACCGACCCAUCUUCACUAUACAAUCUUCUUAAUAAUGUCAACCCCUCAUGCGGCAAUCCAUGCUGAAUAUAACCCGAAAUCAUCGACGUCCAUGAGAUAACGUUUUUCUCGGGCAUCUCGUCAAACAUACGGCGCGCAUCGUCGACCAAACCAUUAUAGAUAAAUCCUGUGAUCAUCGAGUUCCAAUGUGAGACAUGCUUUUGCUCUAAACUACUGAAAAUUAACCAGGCUUUGUUUAUGCUCCGGCACUUGCAAUACAUGUCAAUCAAAGCACUGCCGAGAAUAGCACUAUCUCCAUUAGAACCAUUCCGAUUCCAAUAAAUACCAAGUGUGAGAGCGAGACCGUGGACUCGCUUCCCAAGCCCCAGCGACCCGAGACGAGCACAAGCUGAUAAGAUCAAAACAACUACACUUGUAUCCAUCAACGCGAGCUCCACGAGACUGCAAACAUGACGACGUAAACAAUUUAAGGCAUCAAUAUACCUCUCAUUAAAGAUGUAACCUUUAAUCAUCAUAAGAGCAGAGCCCACACUCCUACAUUCGGCCUUCCCCUCCAUCGCUCUCUCCGCCGAGCUCACGCCUCCGCACCUGAAAUACAAGUUGGCGGUGGCAUUCGCAAUUGCGUUGUCCGAAUCAAACCCGACAACUACAAAGAAUCCGUGAAUUUGCGCGCCCGAUCUCAAAUCGCCGAGCCCGGCGCAUGCUGCCAAAGCGCUCGAGAUCGAGAACUCGUCAACUCCGACAACAAGGUGACACCUCAUACGGUAGAAGAGAUCGAGCGCGGGGGCGAACGACCCCGCGUUCGAGUAUGCGGCGAGCAUGGCGUUGUAAGUGACGGUGUUUCUGAGGGGCAUUUCGUCGAACACCUUGCGGGAGGGGACGAGGGCGCCACAUUUGGAGUACAUGUGGAGGAGGGAGGUGGCGACGACGACGUUGGUGAGGAGGCCGCGGCGGAGGGCCUGGGCGUGGAUGGAGGGGGCGGCGGCGAGGUCGCCGGAGGAGGCGGCGGCGGCGGCGGCGGCGGAGAAGAGGAGCGCAGUGAGGAGGAUGGGGUCGCGGGAGCGCGGGGGCACGCGGGAGAAGAGGUGGUCGGCGUAGGAUAGCGAGGGAGGGGCGCGGAGGCUAGCGUACGCCGCGAGGAGCUUCGUGGCGACGACGGGAUCCCCGUCCAAGCCCAGCUUCAGGAGCCGCGCGUGCGAAUUCAUAAUCCACAAAAACCGGCGCCGUAUUCUCACACUGCCAUUUGUAGUCGCCGCCGACUUCUAUAGAAAGCUCUCGGUUGCACAGAAAAGCACGAAAAUCAUGAAAAAAAAAUAUUCCCUAACAAAAAAGAAAAAAUAAAUAAAAUUACUAUUUCUCUACCAAAUUUGGAAAAUACUUUAUUGCCAUCUAAGUUUCUCUAUGAUACAGACUUUUCCCCCAAAAAAAAAAAAAAAAAAAACUGAAAAGAAGAUGUUACUACUAGUUGCUAAACUUCUGCCACCAUAUCAAGGAAUGAACUUCACCCAGAAUGAUAGUCUAAAAAAUGCAAACCAUAAUAAACCAACAAUGUUUUACAACAACGAAACAUAGAAUGCACAAUUCAUUCGAGAGCUACAUUAAUAUGAACGCCGGAGUUCGUAAAAACCGUCUCCUUAUUCGUCUCGGCGGCUGGGUGGUCGCCACACUCGAGUCUCAGUCUGAGGUGCAGCGGUUUCAUGAAGAUUAUAUCGCUCGCAUCCCCACAGGUUUCCGCGAGCAAUUCCACGAUCGCACGCUCUAGUUUCCCGCUUGGAUUCGGUUGAUCGAGAAUCCUCAUAGCUAAUGCUUUGUGAUCUUCUUUGUUUUCUUGCAGCUUCUUUAUUUUGAGAUAGAGAACAGCUGAGACAACAACCUACACAAAUAUUUGUUGUAUUAGUGAUAACUUGUUUGUGUUUUGUUGCAUAUUAGAACCAAUCCAUCCGUAUCAAGGAUCGAAUUUGCGAGUUUGCUCAGAAGCUUGAAGCAAGAGAGGUAGUGAGAUGUCAACUAUGUAGAAACAAACCAGAAAAUCCCAUACACAAUAUCUCGACAAAAUACGUAAUGAAGAACAUACCUCACUUGUCCCCGGACUGAUGUUGACGGCACAAUCGACAUGAACUCUGUUCUUAUCCCGGAAGUUUCUAUCUGAAAGUUCCUCCUCGCCUUGAACCUCAGAUUCCUCCUCAGGGCGUGUAAAAGCAAGAUUAUCUAACUCAUCAAACCACUGUUGCGCGAUCCCAACCUUAUUUGCGAGCGAAGAAACUAGUAUUAGUAUAAGCGGCAAAGAUUAGCGAAAUGGGCAAAAUGGAAAAUGAUUUAUUUUGAUAGGAUGACACCUUUUCUUUAUCAUCGGCUGGCCCCUCUAGUCCAGCGAGUAAAGAAACGGAUCCUCUAGCUUGGCGCCACACACUACUCUCCUCCAAGGGUGCUGCUAAUUCAGUACUAACUGGGAUGUCUAUAUGUACUCUUAUGUCACAUCUUCCUGUUUCAUAAUGUAGAAUGCGUUAAGAAAAAAAAAUUUAGAAUAAAGAGUGGCUAAGAUUACCGAGUUCGGCGGUUCUAUUAAUAGAAUGGCCGGUAUCUGAGGGUGCAUUUUUACAAUGCUACCAAUGAUAAAUAUAGGGAAACGGUUAGAAAGCCCGAAGAGCAAUCGUAUCAUUUUCAAUGAUAAGUUAAGAUUGAAAUAUAAUGGGCUUCAUUCAUGUUGGUGCAAAAACAUGAUUAAAUAUUCGAAUUAGUAUAAAGAACUUUUGAAUUGAUAAAAAUGAGUAGGAUGUUAUCAAGUACCAGGAAGCACAUUUACAGAAUGGAUAUGCUCUUUCCACGGUCUAGUAGCAUACCCGCUGCAAAAACCAUAGAAAGUUGUCAACGAACGAAGAGUUUUAAAAGCAACAAAACUCAUGCUCGAUGUUAAAACUGAAGACUAUGGAAAAGCAGGCCAUCUCACCUGUUGAAAACUCUCUCAAGAGGACAAACUAACCAAUAUGGUAAACCAAUAACGCCAAAGUUCGAAAACCUAAUGCACGAUACGUCCAUAGUGUUCCCAUGCUGCUUCAAAACCCUUUGACCAGCUUGAAAAGAAGGAAAACGUAAGUCAAAAGAAGAGUCGGUCUUAUAUCCUACUUCUGUACCAAUAAUAGCUAGCAUACUAACCAGCAUCACAAAAUAUGAUGUUAUCCUGAAAUCUUGCAAUUGAUGAGACAAAACCAGCACAAGGAACACCCUCUAGAGAAAGGCGGUCCUCCACUGUCUUCAAUGGCCAUUUCUUGUUCAUAUCCUUUAGUAGAGAGAGUUUCUCCAUUAUUGUUUGCCGAGACAACUCAAUAACAUUUCGGGCACCUAUGCAGAAUCCUCAUGCUUUAGUACAGGUCACUGUUGCUAUAUAUGCAGCAAAUGCAAGAGGAAUUAAAAAACAAACCUCUUACAACUUCUCUUAUCUCACCAGUUUCCAUACUUAUGAUCCAUGAUGUUUCAAAACUGCAGAAUUCCACAACAGAAAAAGAUAUAAAGAUCAUUUUUUCUGUUCAUUAUCAUUUGUAUAUAUAAUAUAUAUAAAAAGGUCUGACCAUACAAUAAAAGCAUUUAAGACAAAUAAUAAGAACAAAAGAGUUCAGGAAGGUUAGAGAUUAUAGCAGAAAUAGGGGAAAGAGAAAGUGGCAUGGAUAUACCUCUCUUUAAAAAGAAAAAGGAAGAAAGGAGCAUAAAAAGAGUGAGAGGCAGAAGUACCUGCGGUUUAUAACCAUCAGGUCAUUCUCCCCCAUCUUUAUCAAAUGCCAUGGAAAUGUAAAAGAGUCUGCAUCGAACUCCUUAGAUUUAGGACCCUUUUCUCUCGCAACUCCAAGCUUAUCCAAGAUCCAGCUCCAUAUACCAUGGGCUUCAGGAACACAAACUGGAUAAAUUGUCUCUACGACCCUCCGUUCCAAAUCAGCCCUCCUAAUAGCAUGAUUCUAUCAAGUUCGCAAACAAAACAAGCGAGAAACAUAAGAUGGCAAUCCACUUGAAAGUAUGAAGGUAAGAGCAUGUGCAUGUGUUGUGAUUGCUUGUUAGCAGUUCAAUUUCAAUUUGCAAGUUCAAAUUAAAAAAUUCUUGGAUUGACAGAGUGGCCAUUACUUUAUUGAGAUAUUUACAGAUAUAUACCAAAAACCCCAUCCUAAAAACUUGUUCUAGUACAGAACCAAACGCCCCGUGAAUUGGAUGAUUCCCCAACUUACAUGUAUUUUUGUAAGAAACUACAUUUAGAGGGAAAUAUAGUAAAAUUGAGAUUUUAUUAAGCAAUAUAUAGAUAGACUAAAUCAAAACAAUACUGUACCUCAGAGUCCACAAUGUAUAAGCAAUCUUCAGCAGCAUCAUAAUAUGAUGCAGCAGGACGCAAUAACUUAGUGUAUUCAAAUUCACCAUCCUCAAAACCAGGGGAAGAACCAAUCUGCAAAAAAGUAUGCAGUUUAGUACUAUUUGAUCAUGAAUGAUAACAGUUAUUCCACAAUUAUUACAAGGAUCAAUUCAAUAGAAACAAAACAAGACUAGCCGGAUGUUACAUACAUGAUCAUAAAACACUUCACCAUUUACUUACCAUAAAGUACAUAACUUCUCACUGCAAUAUUGGAAUACGGAUACAUAAAAUUAUAUUGAACACUCAAUCAGAAAAGGUAGAAAAUUUAAAGGUAAAAUAAAAUGAAAGCUACUCUAUGGAUUUUGCUGGAUAUCUACAAAGGUAACCAGCAAAUACAUUUUUAAUCACUAAAAGGUACUGGGAAAAGUAAACCAAAUUACUAAGGGCAACUUGUAGAGCUACUUCAACCAGACGGCAAACCAACUUAAUGGAAGGUUCCAUCUGUCACUAUACAAAAGGCUCAUAUAAAUAAAGCUUAAAAAAGAAGUUGAUUCAUCAUGCUAUAGGAAACAGCAUACUUACGCAAUCUAAUAUCUUCCCGUCACCAUCAAUUAUAAUGAUCCGAUGGUGAUUACUGUCGGAUAUGAAUAUGCGGUUUCCAUUUUCAUCUACAGAAACACACCCUGGUAUAGUAGAAUAGAAGUAUUUUAAUUCUCAAUGACCAAUCUUCAGUAGCGGAAAAAAAAAAAUCACAGUACAACUUACAGUUAGUGCAUAAACAACAACGCAAGUGUCAGAUAAUUUUCCUUGGGUACAAUUUUUAAUCAUUACAUUUUACUAUUAAUAAGCUAAAAAAUGGGCAUUGCUCGUAUAGUCAUAUAAUAGAAAACCCCAAAAAGAUAUAGAACGCAACUUUGAAGUUAAUUAACAUUCAAAAACUACAUAAUAGAUUAAAAAAAAACCUUAAGCUUCUUUUCAUAUCCAGAAAUGGUGAAAUGAUUGUCGCUUCUGCCACUCUAACAAAGCCAAACAUCUACAUAUCCAGAUAUACUAAUGGUUCAUUACAAAUGUACUAGAAAUAACAAGUACCUGGAUAAUUAAGAAAUAAAUUUCUGAAAGAACCAACAUCUGGUUCCUUUAUAGCCUCAUGUUGUCUCUGCCAACCUGAUUUCGAAUCUUGAACAGUACCAGAACUAUCUGCUCCCAACACAUUAAAUGUCUCGAUCACUGCAUACAAAUUAUGAACAAACUAAUAUAAUUACUAACUUGAAUGAAUGCAUUUUAGUUGAGUACAUACUUCCAGCAGACAACUGGAGAAUAUACAAGAUGAAAGGCAAAUUAUCACACAAUAAUAUAAAAUCUUAAAUGAGAUAUCCAACAAAGAAAAUGAAGUAUGAAUCUAAAUAAUCAGACACCCAUGACUAGACCCAUUCAUAUCACAUGCAGAUAUAUGUUUUCAGCACCCUGUUCGCCUGCACAUUAAAUUUUCCAAUCACUUCAAGCAUUCCAGACUUGAUUAGGAACUAUUGCUGAGGUUCUGUCAGAUACAGUAGCUUUGAUGCCAAAAUACAAAGCCUCAAGUUCCAAACUCUUGUUCAUUUGUGUUUACUAUUAUUAUUAUAUUUUUAAACUUUUAUUCAUCUCUACCAAGGGACUCGAAGGAGUUGAAUGCAGUCAACAGAGUCUUGGCAAAUUUAUUGUUUGAAACACAACUACACGAGUGCUCCAUGUGUGUUGAGUGUGCCCAUGCACCGGUCUAUGUGUUUUGUUUUACCUUUGACUAUGGCUUCAGGCUCCUUGUCCCACCUUAAACAGCGCAAGUGAUUUGUAGAACUUUCGAAUAGGAAGUAGCAAGAACCAUUUGUCAUCUGAAAACAGACAGAAGAAAGGCAAUAUAACAAGUCACAUAUAAAAUAGAGUUUAGAUCGAGAAAUAUUAUACACUUUCAAUGAACUUCGUAGAAUUGAAUGAGUUAUAAUAUACGGUUGGACAUGGUAGGGUCCUUCAUGUAAACGGAUAGAUAAAUUAAUUAAUUAGUAUGAAUAAAGCAAUCUUAACUUCUUAAGUAAGAACAGAAUAAAUUAAGCGUCAUACAGGAUUACAGCAAACAAAAUACCCAAGAAUAAUUGAUUUUGUAAUUGGUCUUAAUGUUAAUAAAUAAACAUUAUAGAGGUUCGCUUGCAACUACAUGCAAUAAAAGCAAAACAAUUAAUAACUGCAAGAAAUCACUAAUUAUAACGGUGGUGUGCCUUACAUCCAUAAAAUCAUUGUCUGAUAUUAAUAUAGGGUAUGUGAUGUACUCGUCCAUGAUUGUCUGAAGCAACCGAGCACCAGUAGCAACUGAAUUGGCUGAACAUCCACAGUGUACAGCAAAAACAUUCAGUUCUGGGAACCUGCAGUGAAAAUCUGAAUAAAAUAAUUACCUCCAAUGUCAAAACUGUUUUACUUCAAAAAGCGAUCCAUAAACACAACAACCUUUGCUGAAGCAAUUUUAGCCUUUCAAACUGAAUUGAAAGUUCGCGAUAUCUAGCAGAAUAUUCAGCCGCCGAAUACAUAAGCGAUAAGAAUAGUCCUUCUUGAUUGAAAUAUUUUCUACUGCCGUUAGUGUUGUUCAACCAACAAUAAUUUGGUCCUGCAAGGCAAAGGCAAAGUAAGGAUAUAGAAAUUGCUGUAAACAAAAUUAUGACUUCUUUUUCCUCAAACUUUCCAGCAACAUGUUACUAAGCUGACCUGAUAAAUAACAUGACAAAGUGAAUAAAAAAAUUUUGUUUUUAAAUAAUUGCAUCAUAAAGUAAAGUAAUUCAUUGAGCAAUGAUCCAUCAAAUCAAAAAUCAUAAUAAAAGAAAGAAAAAAGGUGCAAUUGACACGUAAAAGACACAACCUACUUUGGUAACUGACAACCAUCAUUCUGCAGGAAAAGAAUUCAAUAGAUGAUAAUCAAUCAUUCAAAGGGGAAGAACAAAGAUGAUCAAACUCUCAUAAAUUCAAAUUAGCAAGAGAACGCCUGGUGAGAGAUUUUGACAGAGAAACCUGAUAUAAUUACCUUCAAGUUCAUUAAAUGUUGACUUGAUAAAGGCCAAAGUCUCAGCCUGUAAAGCCAAAUUAUCAUUUGCUUCUGUUGUCACUGUUGCCGUUGAGCUCCUGAAAGCAACUGUUAUUUGUAAUUCAGGAUUUAGAACAAUUAUUAUGAAAAGAUCAGUGGAACAAGAGAGUAACUAUGCACAUAGAAACUGCUCCAUGUGGCAUGCAUGUACAUCGAAACCUCAAAACUUAUAGAAAAUGCUCCAUGGAGUAGUUUGAGUAUGAAUGAAUGUAAAGACAAGCAUGCAUGUCACAAGUUUGCAGUUAAAAUUUUAAACUGAGUACCGUUUUACAAGGCAGUAGUAACAAAACUUCAAUGUCAUUUUUCAAAGAAAAAUGAAACAACAGAUGCUGUAUCUUUCAUGCUGAGUCUAUGACAAUUAAAUAUUAGUCAAACUUGCAUACAUUGGAGAACACCAGUAUUUCUCUAUAUUAUAGGUAGCAUGCUUAAGUAAUGUUGAUAGACAAGAAAUUGUUGCUAUGUAGAAAUCACUAUGAUUAUCUAUCAUCCUAAACCACACAGUCAAUCUGACUUGAAAACAGUCAACAUUAGGCAAAUUAUGGAUCUAGUAAGACAGCAUUGCACAAAAUACUGAAAGUUGCUCCACCAGUCAACUGCAGUCGAUAUGAGAUGGUCUGUCUAAAAGAAUAAAGCUGCCUACUAAAUGAAUUAUGUCAUAAUUCUAUACGUGUAUUCUUUAUAAUGUUGAAUACAUCACAAUUAAGUAUAAAAUUAUUCACAACGUUGGCAAGAAAAACUUAUUUGAGGCUUAUAGCUCUACAAUAUGAGGCUCUCAUAAAACUGACGAUAAGAUGCCUAGAGGUUUUAAGCUCAUGAAUUGUUUCAAAAUAGCAUUACAAAUCAAAAAAAAAAAAACCCAUCAUUUUUAACUUUUAGCGUCACUUUGCAAAACUAAGUGAAGCUACUAAUGUGCCUAUCAACUUAUGCACCAAAGUAUGCGAAAUGCUUACAUGGUAAUGGUAGUCAAAAUUCUCAAGGAGACAUUAAUAAUAUGCAUGCACAAUGCAAUCUUGACCUCCGAAUUCACGGUCAUGGAAAGUAAUAACUUUAGAUUACCUACGAAAAUGAUCUAAAAACACCGGACAUUUGUUUCUCUUUCUUAGCCAUUCGCGUAACAUAGAAGUUGGAAGAUGAUCCUGGAGCAUUCUCCUCGAUCCUGAACCUGUUCACAGAACAAAUAAGCAGAUUAGAACUAUUAGACUGAAUCUCCCAAAACUAGGUCACAGUUAUUGCAUAAUCCAGAUAAGCAAUAAUGCUUCUUACAGGCAUUAUUGGACAAAUUUUUGAGAAGGAACCAUUGGACAAUUAGUCAGUUAAAUGUGAAUCAAUCAUGAAUGUACAAGGCCUGUUGAUACAAGGAAUGAUCAUAGUGUUGAUGGAGCAAAUAUUUCUGGUCUUAGAAUACAAUCGCGGCAGAGAAAAUCCCGCUUUCAAAAAGCCCAACAACAAUAUACCAUUUCCAGCAAGAAUCAACCAAGAAGUACCAUGCUGUUGUAACGCAACAAUCAGGUAUGCAUAUUUUCCCAUCUAACACAAGAAUCAACCAAGAAGUACCAUGCUGUUGCCUUGUUGGGUCAACGAGUGUAUAUUCUGAGCAUGCAGCUUGAACUUACGAAUUAUGACGAUUAUGGUAAGGAAAAGAACAUAAUAACAAUAUAACUUUGUUUUUGGUGCUUCUAUUUUCCUAUCAGUAGCAAGAAGCUCCCAAGAAGCCGAAAUUUUGGGCCUAUUUGACUCAGGCUAGAAUUUCUAAAAGUAAACGUUGCUUUAUUAGAGCUAUUCGAAUUCGAAGAAGCCACCCAACCGCUUUUUGUUAAUAUCCCCGAACAGCUUCUCUUGGGCCUCAGAAGCCUAUUUCUGUUUCCCACUUCAUCCAUAAGCUCCAAAAUCCCCUUUUUUCUGUUUCCCAACCACCUAGCUUCUGCUUCUUAAGUAGAGAAGCCAUUGCAAAAUCAACUCCACACAAGCACUUAGAACUACAGCAAUCAAUCAAUUUAUCAUUACCUACAAUCCUAUACUCUUGAAACAACGACAAACAAGCUCAAACAGUACGAUAAACCCUAAUUUUCCAGAUCAAAUUCUAGCACAAGAUUUUGGGGUAUUCAAUUCCAAUAAAAAAUUGCGAUAAACAAGAAGAGUUGGGGAAUUACCUGAAUAAAAGUUCCGGAAAAAAACCAAAGAAAUCCCUCUGAAACGAUGAAAUCUACAUGCCAUUGAUCCGUUUGGGAUUUGAGGAGAUUAAACGGUGGAACCCUAAUUUCGCCGAGGAAGAGGGGGGUUUAGGGUUUAACGAGGGAGAGGGGGGGAGUCGUCGGGGCCACGACGAGGCGGAGGCGGGGAGGAAAAGAACCGAGGCGCCCUUCCGGUUCGGACCAGCUUUAAGUGAAACGGAAACGAACCCGACCGGUUUUUUUUUCUCUAAAAAAACAGUGCUUUUUUUUGGGAUAAACUUUAAAGUUCAAAUACCACCUCUUUGAUUUCACACUUUCUCACUUUAGUACAAUAUCAUUUUUAUCUUUUCGUCGACUUUUUCAUUUAUAUUUUAUUAAAUUAUAUACCAAAAACUUCAGAUAUCCACCUAGGUUUAUCAAAUAUUCACUUUAGUAUUCUUUAAUUUUAACUUUAUCACAGAAUGAAGAAAAAGAUUAGUGAAAUCGAUAAUAAAAAGAUAAAAAUAAAACCACAAGGCACUAAAUUAAUAUAUUUUAAAUCAUAUGGUAUUGAAAUAAGAAAGUGUGAAACUACAGUGGUGAUUUUUAAAGUUUUUUGUUUUUUUAAUGAAAAUUUUUAUCUGGGUUCCGGGAUUUUACUACAAACUUAAACAUUUUGGAAAAAAGUUUCUGCUAAGCAACUUUCAGUAAGAUUUAGAAAUAUUUUGUUACUACAAUUUAUUUUAUUUAUUUAUUUGGUAAAAUGUGUGGAAACGUACUCAAUUACGUCGGAUAUAGAAAAAUUCUACACACUGAAUAAACUCACCGUUCGUUUGUUCGUAAGUACAAAAUUGUAAAGAUUGAAACUGUGCCUCAUUCGAGCUUCUCUCCACAGCAAAUUUCAUAUUGUAGCGCACACCUAACUCAAAUCGGAGCUUCAAUUGAGCGCAACUAAAAAAUAGUAUCCCAAGGUUUCAAGUUCAAAUCCUAGUUGAUUCACAUUUUCAGCUAAGUUUAUUUCUAAAUAAAAUAAACGAAACGAGUAGCGUGCUACCUAUUUCUCUCUCUCAAAAAAAGAAUAGUAUCCCAAUAUUAUGUGCUAUAUCCGAGUUGAAACUUUUGAUUAGUUCAAGAUAUGCCCUUUAAUUUAAGCCGAUCAUGUUCAGAAUCUUCUCAUCUAAUUUUCACAGAAUGAUUUUCUUAUAUUGUAUACUCAACAAAAACUAGAGAGAGAGAGAGAGAGAGAGAGAGAGAGAGAGAGAGUAUGGAAUUGUGUUAAUCUUUUCUAGAUUUUUUUUUUUUUUGGUAGAAAGUUUCAGGAAAACACCAGGCAAUUAAUGCAACUAUUGGCUUUUUUUUUAACUUGUGAAACAACCGUUGUACUCUAAAAGUUUAAGCUGUUAGAGAACGGUGUUUAAACAUUUUUAGGCUCGAGACUUUUUAAUUGGCCCAUGACGUGGGCUUGAAUUAAAUGGGAGGAAAUUAAUAUGCUAAGAGCCUAACGUGACUCGAACUCAGGACCUCCUGCUCUGAUACCAUGUGAAACAAUCGUUGUACUCUAAAAGUUUAAGCUGUUAGAGAACGGUGUUUAAACAUUUUUAUAUUUAACAUAACUCUUUUUCUUUUUCUUUUUUUUUCAGGAUGAAUAAGUUUACAUACACUCAAGAACUCAGAUUCCAUUAUGUUGGCAAUGAUUAUGCUGGCAUCCAAAUCCUAGGAUUCUAAUUAGCUCACUGUGAUUCCAUAUUCCAUAUGGAAGAUUAAAGAGCACAUAAAUAUGUUAUAUCACCCUCUGUGUUUCUAAUAUCCAAUAGGCCAAAUUGCACUGUUGGUGCUCAAACUAUGAGAUGCGCGACACUCGAGUUCUCAAACUUUAAUUUAUUACAAUUUUAAUUUUGCUUAAUCUUUUUGAAUAGUUGUAAGCAAAUGAGAUAAUGUGACAGCAAAAUAGAAGUAUUAUGAUUCAUAAUGUAAGAAAAUAUAAGAUGCCAUGCAUAUUAUUACCAUGUUUUUACAAAUCAGCGGCACAUCAUCAUUCAGCUAAAAAAGUUGGUGCUGUGAGACUUGAUUGCGAUAUAUAAUAUAGAAAAUUUAAAUCAAAAAUUAUAAUAAAUUAAAGUUUGAGAAUUAAAAUGUCACACACGACGUAUAGUUCGAGGACCAAAAGUGCAAACUACAUGCAUGCAUGUACAUACAUGCUCACAAUAUUCUUUUUGAAUGUCAAAUAAUUGAGUACAUAUGAUUCUAUGGCUUGAGUUUAUAGCUUAAGAUGGGUCCCUUAUCAUCAUUUCCAUCUAUCAAAACCCCUAACUAUUAUCCUACACACAUUUAGAACAUUAGGGGCAUUGCAAAAUUCUCCACAUGUAUGAUUAAUUAUUCAAUCAUCGAUCCUGGUGGGAUUCAAACUCAGAAAUAUCCCUUUUUUUGUACCACGUGAAAUAAUCGAUUACUCUAAAAGCAAAUUAAUUGCUUGAGAUGGUGUUUUUGACCGUUCACAUACACCGAGCAACACGUACACGGAAAAAAAAGAAAGAAAUUGAAUGAGGACCACCUCAUUUUUCACAGGGUAUACGAGAUUACUAAAUAGCCCGUCACGCCAUCUGAGCGAGAUCUCGUUAAGGCGCUCCUCAGAGAAGUCGUGCUCCGAGUGUAGAACUAUUACUCCCGUCAUAUAUCAUGACUACAGUACAUGUACGAUUAAUUAUCCAAUCAUCAAGUGAGAUUCAAACUCGGAAAUAUCCCCUAUUUUUGUACCACGUGAAAUAAUCGAUUACUCUAAAAGCAAAUUAAUUGCUUGAGAUGGUGUUUUUGAUCGUUCACAUACACCGAGCAACAUGUACACGGGAAAAAAAGAAAGAAAUUGAAUGAGGACCACCUCAUUUUUCACAGGGUAUACAAGAUUACUGAAUAGCCCGUCACACCAUCUGAGCGAGAUCUCGUUAAGACGCUCCUCAGCGAAGUCGCGCUCCCAUCAUAUAUGGAUACAGUACAUAACCAGGUGCCUUGGAUCCUCUUUUAACAAAGAGAAGGGCAGACAGUACUAGUGGCUUGCUAAAAGUGAUGCUAUUCUGGUCUGUCAUCUCUGAAACAAGGCUGGACAGAUUAGGGCCCUGCUCAAGGAAUAUAACUACUCAUGCAUGCCAUGGGUCCCCAUCUUUUCAAUUAUUACAAUUCGGUCCCUAACCUUCGCUUUUUUAUUAAAUGGAAAUGGCCUUAUAUUAUACAUACAUGAAAAUAGUGUUUUUAUGUUAUGUUUACUGUCUCUCUCAUGUUUGGACUCAAAACUUGUCACAAUAAGCAUAAGACGCGGGCUUAAAUUGAAAUGAGAGAAAAUUAAAUUAGAUCAGAAGUUUUUAACUCUAUCGUACGAAAUAAUUAUUUUUAGCAUUUUAAUCUGUUUAAAUAAAAAAUUAAUUCGCUUCAAAAAAGAGAGGGAGAAAAUUCUCAUCCUUUCUUAGCAUCUGAUAAUAAUAGAAGAUGCUGCAUAUAUAUCUUAUUAUUAAUUUCUAUAAAAGAUUGUGAACAUUUGAAGAUGACAAUUUCCUUUCUUAUUCUUUCAAUCCAAAACAAUCAAAAAGAUCAGAGAAUUUUACUGUUAUGGAGGCUUCUUACACAUUCAGUGAAAUGAAACCUUAUUUAAUCCUGCAUGUUUUUCUCCAUGUAUGAAGCUUCAAACAUGAUGUAAAAGAAAACAAAAAGAAAUAUUCAUUGUUUGCUGCUUUUUAUAGGGGGGAAAAAUGGUCAAAAAAACUUCACAGUUUGAGCAAUUGGGACUUGGUUAUAAUUUUGAAAGAUAUAAUUCCCAGAUCCUCAUAUGUGUAUGAACACUUAAAAUUACAAAUCUAUUUUUUUUAAGAAAAAGAAGGGGAAAAAAAAAAGCCAUUGAGUUGGUGGUUUCAGAGUCCACCAAGUACCAACUACCCUCAUUUAUUAUGCAUUUACACAACAACACAAAUAGUGAAACAGUGAAUUAAAACACAAGCACACACUUUUCCUACUUCCUUAUUAAAUUCUUUCUUUAGAUCUCUCAAAUAAUAAAAAAAAUAAAAAAAAAAGUUGACUAUCCAUAUUCACAUCUACAAAAGUGAAUGAUCACAAGUACUACAACAUCAAAAUAAAAAAAAAAAACCCACAAAAACAAAUAAUAAUACAAGCAAUCAAAAUGCUACACGUACAUCCCAAAUAGGGGUGUACAGCUUACACUCUUGCAUCUAAGGAUUUAUAAAACUCUUUUAAAUUUUUAGCAAAAUAACAAUAAUAAUAAGACUAGCGGAUGAAUCCUAGCCAUUGAAACCCCAGGGUGCACAUCUUACACCUAAGUUAUAGGUGUACAUGUAGCAUUACUCUUUACAAAAUAUAUUUAAUUAGGUUUUUGCAUUUGACUACCUAUUGGAAUCUGGGUUUGGGCCACUUGGAACUUCAUGCUUGCUUGCAUUGAACUUGGUUGAAGAGUUUGAUACCUUCUUUGGAGCCAACUUCAUGGAUUGUGAUGUAGAAGAUGAAGAAGAAGAAGAAGAAGAAGAUGAUGAUGAUGAUGAUGAUGAUGGAGUUGAGAACACAAGUUGUUGGGAUUUAUGAGCAAAUGGGAGCAAAAUGAGGCAAAGGAGAACACCAUGAAGCAGCACAUUUGCCAUGAACUCUAUUUUGUAGUGCAAAAGGGUUUAGUCAAUGUCCAUGAAAGAGUAUUGAGGAGAAAAGAGGGGUUGCUUGGGAAAAAUGUUAGGGCACAUGAUAUUGGAUAGGGGAGAGGUAAAAGGCCAAUACUUUGAUGACUAGGGUGUUGUCAUGUGGUAAAGAGGACAUUGAAUAGGGGUGGAGGAAGUUACAUGAGUGCCCUCCCAUUGGAUAGGAGCUUGGUUGUUAAGGCUCAUUAAUUAUGUCCACAUUAAUUUGUACUCUUUCAUGGAUUGGUGGUGUAGUAAUUGUGAGAGAGAUUUUUUUGGGGUAAAACAUGGUGAAACCCUCACUACCAUUGGAAUUUCCACAAUGACCCUUUAAAACAAUUAUAAAAAGCACGGCAGAAAUGAUUAGCUUGUACAGUACAAAUAAGCACAUCAGCAGUAACAGUUAGGAGGCAGCGUAAAAGAUUAACCUAAUUUUUACCAUGUUUAGUCACGAUUGAAGUGAUAGAUUCUACUUAUGGAGGAACAAUAAUAUUGAAGAAGAUAGGCGAAUCAGACGUAGGCUCUAAAAUUUUGAGAGGGGCAAAGUGGAAAUCAUGAUACCAAUAGAGGUUUCUUGCAAUAUAUACUUUUGAAAUUAAGAUCAUCAUCAUCAUACAAUGUGUCAGGGAUUAAUGAUUACUUUCUUUAGUAAAUCUUAGAUACUUUUUAAGUAGUUUUUGAGUGCUUGAGAAGUUUGACUCAUCAUAUAUUCCUCCUCUUACUCUAGCAUGAGGGUCACUCAUUUAAUAUUGCUUCCUAAAAGUUGAGAACCAUAUCUAUCCAAAAAAAAGCAUUCAAAUCUCUCUGAAUCAGAGCUCAACUCCAAGAUAUAUAUAUAUGCACUUUUCUCUAGUUGUCUCAGCCUUUUUUAUAUAGAAUAUAAGCUUGUUUAGUUGUUUAAGUCUUAAAGUAUGAUAAAGGGCAAAAAAUACCAACUUAAUUAUUAUUUAACUAUGUUCACAAAACAAAAAUGGAUGUAGAUAUUAUUUAUCACUAGCUAUAUAUUGUUCUUUGAAUGCUUUGUUAGUAUUAGCAUUGCAAAUUUACUACUUAUGUACUCUAAUGCAAAUUAUGAAAGAAUUACUCUAUUUAAUUAUUCUCAUGUCCCUCUCUUUUAAUUAUAGUGGCAAUGCAUGGAUUGGAUUGAGACUGAUAAUAUGGCACCUAAAAGCAUCAUUUUUAUAUUAUAAAAAGCUCAAAACUAGGCUUGAAUAUGCUUUAGAUUCGGUUGAGGUGGUGCAGUAAAACCACUUAAGGUUGAAUGGAACUCGAUCCAAACCAUAAGUGGGUUAAUGUGACUUGACCCAAACUUGACCCGUUUAGUAAACGGGCCACCUCGAACCAUUUAUCUUGAGUUGGUUGAGACUCGAAUUGAGACUAAGUAGAAUAACAACAAAUUUUCUCUUUUUUAAUUAAAAUCUUAGUCACUUUAUUUAGUUUUUAUUUAACAUAUUCGGUUUGAUAGGAAUAGAUCAGAUUCAUUAAAUUUAUAUAGAUUCAAUCAAAUAUGUGUAACUUUGAAGAGAGAGAGAGAGAGAGAGAGAGAGAGAGAGAGAGAGAGAGAGAGACUUAAACAUAAUACAACUAUACUAUGGCUUUUUCUUGCUUGUAAGGUUGUGCUAAAGAGAGAAGUGCUUUAUACUUUUGUGGGAGAAAAGAGGGGGAGGCUUAAUAAGCAAGUGCUUUUCCCAAAAGCAAAGAGAGAAUCUCAUUUGGAGAAGUGCUUCUCUAAAAAUCUCUAUCUCAAUACCUGUGGAGUUGCAGAGGUUGUCCACUCACUAGGGUGCAAAAUGACCAUGCAUUCACACUUUGGUAUGUGCAUGUGGUAUCUAAAGAUAGAAUUCUACUUUUAACAAAUAAUGCCAGGUGAAAACAAUGAGCCCAAUAAUUUUGGCUUUCUCAUUCUACAAGGUGACCUAAUUGAUUCCUCUUCUAAAAUAAUUUUAUAAUAAUUAAGUGUAAAAUAAUAUUAAAAUAAUCGUAAAAUAAUUGUUGCCGUCGUUAAAAGCUCUAAACGGAUUUGGAUUUUGAGGCUUGCUGAUAGGCUCAGGACGUGAACUUAUAUUAGGAGUCAGUUUAUCAAUAUAACUUAUACAUAUGAGCCUGUCUGUAGCCGUCGCUUUCUGUAAUUGUGACACUAGCUUGUUUCUGAUGUGGUAGAAGCACUUUGGGCUUUUCAAAAUGCAGAGUCGAACAUGCACUCUAAAAUAAAAGGAAACUAAAUUAAACGAAAUUAACUAUGAGCCUAAUGAGAUUUAGAUUGCUCUCAUUCCAUGUUAAAAUAAUGUCAAAAUAAGUUUUUGUCUCUAAAAGCUUAAACUAUCGAGAGUUGUGUUUUUGAUGCUUUAUAUUCAACAAUGAGAAUUAUUGGCUUAUCACCAAAAAUAAAUAUCUAUUAUUAAAAAUGGUAAAACAUAAAAAGUUGUUGCUGUAGCAAAGCGCAAGGACAUAUUACUACCAUGUAAUUUGAAGAACAAUAUUUUAUCCUCCCACAACUUCUAAUUUAAUUUUCUAUCAAUGUUGUUGCUAAAAAGACUAUAGUGCUAGCUAUUUUAGAGAAAUUAACCAUAAAAUUGUGAAGUGUACGUAAUUAAAGGAUGAUAUUGCCGCAUUUUUACCAUCCUUUAUAAAGUAUAACAGUUUAUUAUUUCUUUAGCAUUAGAUCAAUUGCAAAAACCAAAACAAAAAAUCAUGAGAGAGUACCAUGCUAUACUUUAAAUGCAAUAGAUAAAGCCUUUUUAAUAGGAAAAACUUUAAAUACCACCUCUGUGAUUUCACAUAUUUUCACUUUAAUAUCAUGUAGUUUAAAGUAUAUCAAUUUAGUCCCAUGUGGCUUCAUUUUUAUUUUUUUAUUAUCGAUUCUACUAAUUUUUUUAUUAAAUCGGUGACAAAAUUAAAACUAAAGGGUACUAAAGUGAAUAUUUGAUAACAUAGGUGGGAUAUCUGAAGUUUUUUGUAUAUAUAUAAUUUAACGAAAUAUUAAUGAAGAAGCUGACAAAAAGAUAAAAAUAAAAUCACAAAAUACUAACUUUUUACACUUUAAACCACAGAAUAUUAAAGUGAGAAAGUGCGAAACUACAUGGGUGGUAUUUGAAGUUUAUCAUUUUUAAUAUGACAAUUUUUUAUACAAAUUUCAAUGGAUUUAUUCUGAAAAUAAUUUUACAAAAGUAAUAAUGUAAUAUCAUUCUCUAUUUACUAACUAUAGUAGAUUAGAUGGUUGGGUACAACAACCAGCUAAGAAGAACAUAGAGACUACAUCAAAUCAUGGUCAAAAAAAAAAAGAGGCAUCUUAGAUAAGUAAAAAAAAGAAAUUUCUCAGGGAAAAAAAAAAAAGCUGGUUUGUGAGAUGACCAGUGAUAAGGACAACCCCUUUUACUUUAAUUCAAUCAUAGCAGAGUGAUGAACCUGCACUUUGGAGUGUGCAUGCUCUGAAAAAAAAUAAAAUAAAAUAAAAUCAUCUUCUUAUAUAUUAAAUUCAGGGUUUUUGGCAAGCAUUUUAAGAAAAUUUUCUUCUUAAUUUAAGCAAGCAGUUGGAAACAAUCAACACUUAAAUAUUAAAAAAACUCUACCUUAAAAGCUUAGAUUUUUCAAAGAAAAAUAAUCAUUUCACUGACAUAUAAUAUUAGAGUAUGAGACCCUAAGUCCCUAAGUUCGAGUUUCGUCAGACUCCUAUAUAAGUUAUUUAAUUUUUUUAUUUAAUUCAAAUUCAUAUUUUGGAUCUAUUAAAAAAUAUCAAUGUCAUACCUAAGUGUUUGAUAUAAGCAUUAAAAAUACCGCUCUCUAGAAACUUAAGUUUUUAGAUAAAAAAUGGUUGUAUAACAUAAUUUAGUACUUGCAAUUUGAUUUUCUAUAAAUUCUUUCAAUUUAGGAACUCAAAGAAGCUUGUGAAUUUCCAUUAUGACCUUGUCCAUUUGCACUAAUAACUUUAAAAGUUUGAGGAAGGUCAUUUUAUAAUCAAUUAAAUUUAGGGCAGUGCUCUGAAAUUAGGGAUGCCAAUGGGUAUGGAUACCCGAAAUUUUAUCCGAACCCGAACCCGAAUGAAAUGGAUAUAUCCGAUGGACAUGGAUUUGGAUAUGGAUAUCAAAAAUAGAAACCCGACGGAUAUGGAUUCGGAUAUGGAUUUUGAUUGUACCUGACCCGAACCUGAACCCGAAUUUAUUUUGUAUUAUACAAAUUGAUGUUAUAUAUAUAAAUUGAUGUUAUAUUUGAAUUUGUAUUUUAAAAAUUUAGAUUUAAUAUAAUAUAUUUUGAAAUAUUGAAAAAAGAAAUAAUUGUUUCGGGUUCAAAUUUUCCGGUUCGGGUUCGGAUUCGGGUUUCGGAUUUUUGGUCGGAUUCGGGUUUGGAUAUGGAUUUUUAAAAUCCGUCGGGUUCGGGUCUCGGGUCUCGGGUUCGGAGUCGGAUUCGGGUUCGGGUUUUUAAAAAUUCACCCUGAAUCCGACCCGUUGACAUCUCUAUCUGAAAUCAUGUGAAACAACUGAUUACUUUAAAAACUUAAGUUGUGAGAGAACAACAAUUUUAUAUUCUACAUUCUACCACAUAACAUACAUACCAGAAGAUCAGUGGAUAUUGCACAUAUCCAUAUAAGGCAUCAAAGACAUUUCCUUCAAGUUUCAUUAUAUAUUUAUAUCAGUUGAAGUAAAAUUAGGCAUUACGAACACAGACACGGCACAUAUAACACGACACAAUUCGGAUACGCCAACUUGACAGUUUCGAAAAAAUUAGAACAUGGACAUGGCAUGGAUACCGCUAAUAAAAUAUAAUAUUAUUAAUAUAAUAGUAUACAUUUAUUAUAUAUAAAAUAUUAAUUUUGCUAAAAUAUUAUUAUAUUUCUCGUACGAAAGUUAAUAAAAUUUUUAUCGAUAGUUCAUAUAUUUUUUUUAAAAAAAUUCUCAUCAUACAUAAUUUUUUAUAUUAUCCAAAAAAAAUUAUGUGCAUUUAUUAAAAGGUCAAAAUAUCUAUCAUUUUAUAUUAUCUAUGCAUAAAAAAAAAAUUAUAUAUAUAUAUUUAUAUAUUAAUGGGAUGCGCCAUGGACCCGCAUCGAACUCGCGUCCAUGGUGUGUCUCCGUCAACCAUGCUUGUGUCCAAUACAGACACACGAAUUUUAUAAAAAUGUCUGUGAUACAUGGAAGUAAAAUCACUAUCUAAUUUUGUUUAUGUUUAUAUGGAAAGGGUUACUCAUGCAAAUAUUUAUGUUUUUAUGGAGUAAUACUUGUAUGCAAAGGUUGUUUUUUUUUUUUUUCAAGUUGGUUAAAAUGUAUUGGUGUUUCUUGUUCUCUCCCAAUAAUUGUGACUGCAUCCCUGUACAAUCAACAAGAAUACAUUAGACCAUGAAAUUUUAUCAAUCAAAAUUGUGUAGUAAUGCAAAUUAUUGAUAUUAUAACACUUUGAUGUAUAUUACAAUUACAAUGUUGUAUUCUGAUACUUGAUACAGAUUACAAGAUCUCGCCACGCAAUUUCGAACAAUUCGUAUCCAUCAUACAUGUUCAUGUGCUAAAUUGAAAUAUUGGCCCCUUUAAGAAUCGCGGCGAGCGCGACAAUUAUGACAACAAGAAGGAUUAUGAUGGCAAAGCACAUAUGCUUCCUUGUGUUCCUCUGUAUCUUCUUGGCUACUUUCAGAGUCUCAGUUGCCUUCUGGACAUGAUCAAUUGAAUUGGAGACCUAAAAACAAGUCAGACUAAAUGUCAGAGUAGAACAUAGUGAGAAAGAAAAAAAGACAGCAAUCUAGGGCUCGUUUGAUGUCGUCGUCAUUUUCGUUAACCACAAAUAUUUUGUAAUUAUAUGCGCUGACAGAUAGGCUUUUCUAAUAUCGACAUCGUCGCUUUUCUUGAUAUAGAAUGAUACUUUAGAAAGUUUGAGCCAGAAAUUGUAGUAGAUUAAAGUUUAAGGACCAAAGUAUCAAGGAUUUUAAAGCUCGAGAACCAAAAAGUGCUAAAUAUAUAGAUUAUGCGCAAUCGAGCAUAUGUCUACGCACUUCAUAGCUAGAAUCUGUGUCUCAAAAAAAAAAAAAAAAAAAAAAAAAAAAACAGCAACGAUACCAAAUGAGGCCUUAAUUUGUCAAUUCUAAGAGGAGGGUGAGCUGGACCUGAGCUUCAAUAUCAUUCAGCAUGUCUCCUUGUGCAUCAACCAACACAGCCAUGUCCAAGAACAUCUGACACAGUUGCAAAUUUUCAUGAGGUAAGAAAAUGUUCAUGAAAAAUAAAUUUUCGCGUUGCGCGAAUUCGAUCUGCAGUGACAUACUUGCUGCAAAUCAUGAAGCUUCUUCUCUAGCUCGAGGACGGCGUCGUGCCGCUCUUGAAUCUCUGCUACUGUGUCAAUAAUCUGCACAACUUAUACUGUAAAAAGUCAGCAUCUUCAAUAGAGUUUCGACAAGGAGAUUUGGCGAGGAUAUACACAAAUCAUACCUGCCCUCGACCGUAACCUUGGAUUGCGUUCUCGAAUAUAUGCUCGCUAUUUCCGGUCUCUAUCAGCUGAUCGAUCGUCUGUUCCACAAUUUUCAUGAUUAGUAGUAUAAGAGAUCUAAACUUAAACUUAAGUCUAAUCUUACCUCCUCGUCAGGUCGGGUUCCAGUUACUGCAAAAGUAGGAAUAGGGCGGAGAAUUUUGUUACAUGUUAAUGAUUAAAAUAAGUUCAUUUGAUGAUUAUUUGUGGAGAUAAAAUGUGGUUACCUGUGAAUACCCUCCGCUCGACUAAUUCACGGUAUUCAUCUUGAAUGUUUUGCCUAAAAGUCUGCGAGAAUGAGAUCGAGUGUACAUGAAGAAUCAAAAUUAUUAUAUGCCCAUAAAAGGAAACUCUAUUCCCCCUUGCAAAGUUAGUGAUUUAUAAACCUACUUUACCUGAAAUUGCGACAUACGCUCUUUCAAUUUCUUUUUCAAAGCACUGCGCGGAAAAAAGGGAGAUAAAUAGAAGAGAAAUUGCAAGGCUAAUUUACCGAAAACUGCAUAAAUUUCUUUUUGCAGAAUUACUUAUGUCAGUUAUGUGUUAAAUGAGCAGAGCCUUUCAGAUUAAUCAGAGAUUUGUAUUCGCAUAAUUACAUGUGUGUAAGAUGUUCUAUGAUCAAUCCUUUUUCUUCCUUUUUCUUUUUUCUUUUUUCACACAAGCAAUAGCAACUUACUUACACAGUCAUUGCCAUUCUGGAACGGUCGAUCGCAGUUCCCUUUUCGCAUCCUGAUUUCUGCUGAUUGGCUAAAUUCUGCAUCCAUUAAUUUCAUGUAAGGAAUUUUUCAUUAAUGCAUUACGAAUAAUUUAAGUGACAUCUUUCACAAUUUCAAGAUCCAGUAGUUGACGACACGACAGGUUAAACAUUCAACUCACAUCUUUAUCGAGCUGUUCGAGGCUUGUUUUCACUUUCAGCGCAAUUUUCGCGACUUCUUCGACAUCCUUCUCCAUUCUUUCUUUGAUUGCUGAAUCAAAACAAGGAUGAAAUAUGUACGCGAUCAAUGCCAUAAUAGUCGAAUAUUACAUCGCAACAUAUGGGGGAAAAAGGAUUUAUAAAUUCGAAGGCCCACCUUUCAUUGCCGAGGCCUUUGUCACAUGCUGGGACUCCUCAUUUUCAGCCUAAUUCAAUUGAUAAUGAGUUCCACGAGAUCGAAGCUUUUAAGAUGUUCGUAUAAUGUAAUCAAACUCUUUUACGUAUGAUACCUGAAGCUUAUGCAGUUGAGUGGUGAUCCUCUCUAUUAAUUUCUCUAUUUCUCCAACCUGCGAGGCGAAAAUACAUAUCAAUGGGUUGUAAAAUACAGAAAAAAGAAAGAGAAAUUGAAAUUAUCAAAAUCGAUGGAAAUAAAUUUCUUGACCUCUGAAAUCUAAUUCCAUUCUGCAGCGAAAUGACGGAAAUAAUUUGCGAAAACCAAAUCUAUACUUGUCCUAAACAUACUGACAAUACUAUAGCUAGUGCUGUGAAUUGUAUUUAUAGUUCACAAAAAAGGAUCAAUAUGCGAAUAAAUUAGUGACACAUUCUAUUCUAAGGGCUUGUUUAGCUGCACUGAAGGUUCUGCAAAAAUGUUGUUUCGUAAGAGCUGAUUAACUAAGCUCUGUCACAUAUUUUUUCUUUAAGAAACUCCUGAAACUUUUUAAGUAGGACUUUUCAUUUUCAAUGCUCAUAAGCUCAUUUUUUGCUUUGUACAGUAGAGAAUCUAUUUUAGAAGCAAGAUGAAAAGGGCAAUAGGGAAUCUGAAACUUUUCGAUACAAAAACUAUGCUAUCGUAUCGCUGAAUUUCUCUGCUUAGAAAGAUCAAUUAAUGAAGGGAAAGUACUGUAAACUUGACUGAAAAACUAUCUUAAAAUACAGAAAAAUUAUGUAACCUGUUUAAAAAACCCUUCCAUUCCCAUAUCUCUUGCGUCGGACGAAAACCUCCCCGAAUCGAACCCUCCUUCUCCAGGGUAACGGCCGAUCACCCUUUCAAAUGAUUCCUAUUAGCACAAAUCAAAAUAUAAUUCCAACAUUUAAUUAUUAAUACUCAUGUUUCCUUUAAAAAAAAUCUGUUUAUUCUGAUAUCUGUUAUGACAGAGAAAAAUACAGCAGCUAUUACAGACAAAAUUUGAUGGAAAUUGAUGCUAUAAUUAUCCAAAUUGAUAAGUCUAUGAAUAAAUUUGCAUUAAAAAAACAAAAAUAUAGAGAUUUUUCAGGUAAUAUUAUAUAAUUUGCCAAAGAAAACGCACAAAUUCGUACGAACCGAAGCUCAAACACAUUAAUUUUCUGAAAAUUUUAUUGCUAAUUCGAGAAAUUAACCUAAUUCACAAAAAAAUCAACAAAUAAAAAGAAAUUAGGAACUAAAAAAGACGAAUUGGGAGAUACCGUCAUAAGAUUGUUCAUCUUGAUCGGAAAUUUUGCGUUGUUAUUUGAGAGGAUUAAAGAGUUUAGGGUUUUCCGACCCUGUUUUUUGCAAGAGGAGGGAAUGGGUAAGGAGAAUAAUAAUAAUAAUAAUAAUAUAAUAAAUAAAAACAAUAAAAUUGUUUUCUUUUUUAUGUCUAAGUAAUUUCGCGCCAAGGGCGGAGAGGUGAUCUGGCGCUUCCCCGCCAAAAAUAACGGCUAUAACGGUCGAUAUGUGAAUUUCCGAAAUUGCCCCUGUCGUUGUACCCGAUUCAUAGGGUCCACACGUUUGCUACAAAUGUUUGUUGCAAAUGGUUACAUGGACCCGGUCCACCACGUCAUCCAUGAACCAUUUCUUUUUUUUUUUUUAACUAGAGAGGUUUAAAAAUCAGAGGUUCCGUUUGGUUACUUAUGGUUAUAAAUACAAUAUAAUUAGAGACAUGUACAAUUAAAAAUAUGUCAGAUAUUAUUUUUAACCUUCUUAAUAAGAUACCUAAAUUGCUGCAACUAUAUUUUUUUAGGUUAAUUACGAUUAGAGCUGCAUUUACAUAUUUUACUACAUCAAAAGAAGAGAAAUUUAGCUAACAUUAUUCCUACGGCAAAUAUUGGAUAGUCAAUUUAAAAUAGUUUAUAGGUCAGAUAAGUAUCGUAUAUUUUUACCAUAAAAUAUUAAAACAUCGUACUAUAGUAGCUAGCAUAUGUAAGGAUUUAGAAUUUAGAUAGUUGUCGAUUAACUAUAAAAUGACAUUAGUAGAGCUGGAUUUUCUGAGUUCAAGUUUUGUCGGGCUCUCGAUGGUGUCAAAUAUAUCUUUUUAUUUACUUCAAGUCCACAACUCAGUCCCUUUGAAUCUAUCGAAAGUUCUGAGUCAGACAUAUUAAAUUACCAUUAUCUAGGGUGGUAUUAUGGCUCAUCUUAUAAAAGUAUCAAAAAUCUACAUUUUGCUUCUUUAUAAUUUCAUAAACAUUUUCAAGAGGGUACGAUGUUAAUGGAAAGGAUAAAAUGACCAAAUUGUCCCAACUUCUUAUAUAAGAAAAAAAUAAUUUUUUAAUAUAUUUUUAUUAUUUUGAAAGAUAUUUUCAGUAUAAAUUAUAAGAAACAGACAUAAUAGUGAUGGACCCUGAUGGAGGGGGGAUUAAAUGCAACAGUGUGAAAUAUUAAGGGGGUAAAAUAUAGGUUUUGAAAGUAAUGGAGGAAAAGUGAAAAAGCAAAUAUUUAUAAAAAAAGUUUUCUGAUUUAGCUAUAAAAAUAUAUUGAAAUGUAUUUCUCUAUUUUUCGAUGAAAUUAUAAAUAAUAUAUCAUAAUUGACUCAUUGCGGUAUACGGAACAUAAUUAAUACUAUAUAUGAAAAAUAAAUAAAUAUUUUCUCAUCAUAUUUUUUUACUGCACGUAGUGCAUUGCAUUAUCUACACCAAUCUCAAAAACUAUUGGCAUGAGUGCUUAAUUCAAUAAUAAAAAAAAAAAAACACUUUUUAUCCCCGCGCAUGCAAAGGUGGCCAAAUCACACAAAUGGAGUUCUCCUCUGUAAAGCAAUUGCAAGAGAUUUCACAUCCAAAAAAAUAGAGGUAAAAAUGCAUGGAGACCCCUCACCUAUAGGGAAUUUCGAUUUAGCCUACUCAAUUACCUUAAUUUUUUUUGAAUUGACACCCCCUCUGACUCCUGAUUUUAAUCAAAAACAAAUUGAGAGGUUUAAAAUAAAACUAGGCUAAUUAACUGUUAAUUACUUACUAACAGAGUCGUUAUAUUUGAUAAAAUUUUUUACCUAACUGAGUAUAAAAACUCAAAUAAUAAAAAAAAAAAGUUGAGGGGUUUAUUUCAAAAUCUCCUAUAGUUGAGGGGUUUUCCAUACAUGUCUUAUCUUUUUCUAAAUAAAUAUGUGCAGAACUUUUAUACAUGCUAACCAAAAAUUAAAUAAAAAUAAAAAUAAAAAUAAAAAAUCUAGUUACAACUCAGGCUUUAACAUGCGUGCAAACCUUUCUUUCUAAAACAUUUUCUAAUUAAUACUUUAUCAUGUAGUGGGAUAUUGCAUAUGGUGGUUUCAUUUCAAAAAUAUUAAUUAUUAUUAUUAUGUAUAUGUAUAUGGUGGUUUCAACGUAGAUUUUGCACCAUUAAUUGAUCUCCACAAUUAUGCAACUUGGUGAAAUCUUAAGUGACAAAAACUUUAUCUUCUUAUCUUAAUAAUAACUACUUGCGAUUUUCCUAAACAUGUCACCUUCGUAAGAUUCGAAAUCUAGCGCAAAAAACUCUUACACAUUAUCUAUUUGAUAUUAUAUAUAUAUAUAUAUCUAUAUAUUAUAAUAUAUAUAUAUCAUAUAUAUAUAUAUAUAUAUAUAUAUAAUAUAUGAGUGAGGCUACUAUGCUAUCGAAGCGCACGGAGCCUUCCGUGCUUCCAGCUUGUUUUCGAUGUGCGACUUCGAAUCUCUCGAUCGGCUCGUUAAUUUGAUCUGAGUAUUUGAGGUACCUAGAGAAUUAAAUUUUUAAUUUCACGAUAUCAUUUGCCUAGUGAACGAAGGGGCUCAAAUCAACGGCUGAAAAUAAAAUUUACAAAAUGUAAUAAUAUGACAUUAAAAUUUUAAAUCAAGAUAUUGGUGCUUGUUUUAUAUAGUAUAAAGAAUUUUCUAUCAAAAUUUCACGUGAUUUGGAUAUUCUCUACACCGUUAAACUUACAAACGGCUCAUACGCCAUUGAAAAUUGUUGAUUUGAGCCCAUUCGAUCACUAGGCCAAAUGAUGAUCGAAAAUAAUAAAAUUUAUUUUCUAGGUACUCCAAAUACUCUAGAUCAAGUUUAACGAGACGAUCGACGAUUUGAAAGUCGCAACAUCGAAACGCAGCCGGAAGCACCGAAGGCUCCGUGCUUCGAUAGCAUAGUACAGCCUCUAAUAUUUAUAUAUCAAUAUAUAUAUAUAUAUAUAUAUAUAUAUAUAUAUAUAUAUGAGAUCUCGAAAUAAUCAUUUGUUCUGCUAAGAACGGUGUUUAUAAUAUUUGUAUUCAACACUCUACUAGACUCGAACUCUGAAUCUCCUAUUCCGAUACUAUAUUAACUAUGUAAAAUAAUUAUUAUUUUUCAAGAGUUUAAGUUGUAAGAGAAUAGUAUUUUCGAUACUAUUAUAUACAACAUGAUAGAUAUAUUACAUGGUUUUGAAAAUCGUUCCACACAAUUUCCAAUCAACCAAUAAAAACAUAUUUGUUAAAUUUUAACAAAAUGCUGAAUAAAAUGUUCAUGCAUGUAAACAAUAAUUAAUAUGGGUAAUCACUCUCUGAUUUUGCGCACUUAAUGUAAAUCAUAAGUACAAGAAACUAUCAAAAAGAUAGUCUUUAUAAACAAGUAAACCUAAGUACUUGAAUAGUUCUCUUUUUAGUUCAAUUUUCCUUAUUAGUUACUCUAAGGAUCUUUCUAUGCUUUCCACUAAAAAGUUAUUAUUAAAGUAAGUAUGAAUAAUAUAUUUAUUAUUGUUAUUGUUAUCAUCAUCAAUCCACCAACUUUAGAAAACAACAAAGGGGACAGUUAUUAACACAAAGUGGGAUAUAUAUAUAUAUAAAUAUGUAUAUGUAUGUAUUUAUGAUUGUGUCCACUCAAAUGGUGCCCUAUAAAUAGGACCAUAGUGUAAUGUGUAUGCAAUGUACAAGAGAAGCUAACAUACAUAGUCUACUUGAAGAAUAUAUAGUAGUGUGUGAGGUUUGAGAAAAUGGCCAUGGGAAGAGGCAGUGUUAAUCUUGUUCUCCUCUCCUUUUUGCUCGUCAUGAUAUGCGCGCCGCGUCGCACACUCGCCGACACCCACAUCGUCGGAGGUUCGCAGGGAUGGGGAUUCUCCGUCUCGUACGACAGCUGGGCUGGCGGGCAGAGCUUCGCUACUGGCGACACCCUCGGUCUCUCUCUCUCUCCCGCAAACACGAGCUUAUAAUUAGAACUGAACAGUUGCUUUUCUGUACAAAGUUUAAACUGUCAAAGAACAGAACUUUAAUAUGUUAUUCUUUUCUUUUUAUGAAUAUGACAGUAUUCAAAUACCAAGCGGGGCUCCACAACGUCGUGCCCGUGGGCGCGGCGGGUUACCGAAGCUGCAAGGCUUCGUCGUCGGAGGCCUCGCGGGCGGCGACGACAGGCGACGACAAGUUCACUCUGAAGAAAGGGUCCAACUACUUCAUCUGCAGCAUCCCGGGGCACUGCGCCGCCGGCAUGAAGAUCCAAGUCCUCGCCCAGUGAGCAGCCGAUCCCGGCCCGGCCCGGCUCGACCCGACCCGAAAAGAAAUAUCUUGGGCUUUUAUAAUAUAAAUAAUGAGCACAACAUGGGCCAUAUAUGAACUACUACUAGUAUUGCUAAUAACUUUUCAUUUCACUGUUUAUUAUAAUCAGGUGUGAAACUACAUAAUGUAAUAGCACUGUGAGUGGUGGUAAUAAAUGUAUUUCCUAGUUGCAAGUAAAAUGCAACUCUACUAACUAUAUGGGGCUUCUUAAUUUCAAAAAUAAUCCCCUCUACAAACAUGUUUAAUUAUGGAUUAAGACGAACGAGCUAAACACAGCCCAUCCCCGAUGCCUGUUUUCGCUUGCCAAUGACACAUCAAAUAAUUCUAAAUUAGAUGAGAAUGAAUUAGAUGGUUUUUUUUAUAAUCAAAUUUCUAAUGUUUAUUAGUUAUUUUAAUUAAAUUUGCAUGCAAGAUGUGGAUCUGAGGUAGUAAAUUUUAUUUGGUGCUAGUGACAGCAAAAACUAAACUCCAAUAACCAAAUAAUUUUAAAUCAUUUAAUAAUAAAGAUUCAAAAGUUAAGAACUAAAGUAAAAAAACUGGAUAAACACGGGACUAAAAUGCAAUUAACACGAAUUUUCAGUUUUUCGUCCGGUUGGUUUUAAGAAAUAUUAGACUUUUUGAAAACUUUUCUUCACAUUUUAUAGAAAUUAGUCUUUUCGUUUUCCUAAAAAAAUUUGAAAACGAAAACACUAUUUUUUUUUUAAUGAAAUUUGAAUUUUUUUAAAAAAAUAAUUUUGUUGAAAUCAAACGGGCCAAAACUGAAAAAAAAAAAAAUUUAUAAAAAAAAAGAAAAAACUUCAAAAACCGACCCUGUCGUUUUACACUUUUUCACUUUAGUAUCAUAUGGUUUAAAAUAUAUCUAUUUUGUACUCUUUGGACUGUGGUUUCGCACUUUCUCGCUUUAGUAUCCUGUGGUUUAAAGUGCAUCAAUUUAGUACCCCGUCGUUUCAUUUUUCUCUUUUCGUCGGCUCCUUUUCGUUAAAUUAUAUACAAAAAACAUCAGAUAUCCUACUUAGGUUUAUUGAAUAUUUACUUUAAUAUCCUUUAAUUUUAACUUUGUUACUAUUUUUUUUCUCCGUUAAUAUUUUGUUAAAUUAUAUACAAAAAACUUCAAAUAUCCUAUCUAGAUUUAUCAAAUAUUCACUUUAGUAUUCUUUAAUUUUAAUUUUGUCACUGAUUCAACGAAAAAAAAAUAGUGAAAUGGAUAAUAAAAAUAAAAAAAAUGAAACCACAGAGUACAAAUUUGAUACACUUUAAACCAUUGGGUAUUAAAGUAAAAAAGUGCGAAACCACAGGGGCCAACUUGAUACACUUUAGGAUACUAAAGUGAGAAACUGUGAAACCACAAGGGGGUAUUUGAAGUUUACCCAAAAAAAAAAUUUUCUUUAAACCGAUCAAUCCCCCAAAUUCUCCAAAUCUCCUUUAUUAGUCGGCGCCGAGACAUUCUCAUUUUGCCGAAUCCCAUAUUUUACAGAAUUGGCGCCGAUGCAUUUAACUUGGCCGACUCCUGUAAUGUACAUUUUCUCUCUAAAUUUUCCAUUAGUCGGCGCCGAAACCACCCUUUUCGCCGACUUCAACGACGUAUUCCCUUACCCGCUUCGUUCUCGCUGUGGGUAGUUCCUCUGCUUCUUCUUCUAUCUGUUAGAGAGAGAGAGAGAGAGAGAGAGAGAGGGGGGGUAGGUGCGACGCUACUCGUUCCCAUUCCGUUCCCAACGAUCCCCACGGUUCCCCUACCUCGAAUUAGCCCUAAACCCCAUCAAAUCCCACUCCCAAUCCGUUGCGGCGAGUUCGUUCCCCUCCUUUUUAGGGCAAUGGCGCCGUUCCCAAACCCUAGAUCUCGAUCCUCUUCGACACCUCUCGAUCCCUUCCCUGGCGACGAUGGAUUCGGCGAGGAGCUGGUUUCAGAGGAGGAAGAAGGGGAAAUCGAUGCUGAUCGCGAAAAGGGGCGAUUUGGAGAGGACGGAGAAGAGAUCGAGCCCGGCGGGGCCGGAGCCCUCCAUGAUUACGCAGCAGAGGGUUGCGGCGGCGAAGCAGUAUAUAGAGAAUCACUACAGGGAGCAGUUGAGGAUCCUCCACGAGCGUAAGGAGAGGUGAAUCUCAAACAAAAAAUGAAGUUUUUUCUUUUUUAAAGAAGAAUGUAUUAAUUUAGUAAUAUAACACUCGUUUAGUGAUUAGGAUUAGCAUGCUUUUGGCUUGGGAACAAAUUGUUCCAUAACAUUUAAGAUAGUAGGGUUACAAAUGUUAGUUCAGUAAUAUAAUUCUUGCUGAGUAAUUUGGAUUAAGUUGCAUUUGUGUAGGACUAUUUACUAGCAUUUGGUUUGAGGUCGAAUUGCGCUGGAAUAACAUUUAUGUCCCUACUGAUAUCACUAUCCAGGGUAACAGAGAAAAAGGGCAUUUUUGAUGAUUGCAGGGUUAGCUGUACUUGAUAAAAUAUAACUUCAAAUGGAUUACCGCAAUAACUUGAGAUAACUUGCGUGAUAGCACAUUUCUGUAGUUUUACCAGAAUAAUAAAUUAUUGGUUAUCCUAGAAUUACUAACUUUGAUCUGAAGUACACGCUCUAAGUGUUCCCCUCCCUGUUCAACUACAUUUUGGUGGAAUAAUGGUAAUGAAGUCGAGUAAUCCCCUAUUUUCUAUGAUCGGUCAAUGUCAGUCAAUGAGCAGCUAGAAAGCUUCAUCUUUGAUAUCAGCAUGCUUUCUUUUAACUUAACUGGUUAUGUUCUCCAAACAGGCGUUCGAUUUUAGAGCAGAAGUUAGCAGACGAUCAUGUGUCUAAAGAAGAGCAAAAUAGGCUACUAAAGUACUUAGAGAGAAAGGAGUCAGAGUACAUGCGCCUCCAACGGCAUAAGAUGGGGGUUGCCGAUUUCGAGGUGUUGACAAAGAUAGGAAAGGGUGCUUUUGGGGAGGUGAAAAAUUUCUACCAACUCUUAUUGUUCUUUUUAUUAUUUACUAUAUUGUUUAACUUUCUCUAAUUCUUGCUAUGGUGCUAAGAUGUUUUAUCUGAGUUUCUUUUGUACAGUUCCUACAACUGUUCAUUUUUAUCUGUUUACAAUUAGCCGACUAAAUAGGUUAUCUUUAUUUCAAUAUUUAAGAAAUUGCUAUUGGUAGUCCAAUUGUAGAAGUUUUAACCAAGUAUGAGUGAAGGAAUGUAUUAUGUUUGCCAAAAGGUCAACGUGUCAGGAAUGGGCACAAAGCAUGGCUAUUCAUUUAUAUCAGAGCUUAAAAGCAUUAUACAACUGUAUUAAACCAUCUUCAGAUAGGAAUCAAUUUUUCUCUAAAAAUCAGAAUUUAUGAACUUUACUUCUAUUGUUAAGUUUAUUCAUUUUAUUGCACAGGUUAUGAUCUGUAGAGAGAAGACAACCAGCCAUGUAUAUGCGAUGAAAAAACUUAAGAAGUCUGAUAUGCUACGUCGAGGCCAGGCAUGUAAUUGCAAAUUUGCAAACAUGUUAGUCUUGGUCUUGUUUCUUUUUUAGCUUGAACUCACAUAUUAAAAUUUCAUCCAGGUUGAGCAUGUUAGGGCAGAAAGGAAUUUCCUUGCUGAGAUUGAUAGUGAUUUCAUCGUUAAACUCUACUGUUCUUUCCAAGACAGUGAGUAUUUAUAUCUCAUAAUGGAAUAUUUACCGGGUGGGGACAUGAUGACCUUACUGACAAACAAGGAGGCUUUAAGCGAGAAUGAAGCUAAAUUUUACAUUGCUGAGGCAGUUCUUGCAAUUGAAUCAAUCCACAAACACAAUUAUAUACACAGGUUCGUCAAAAAGUUAGAGAAAAGCUCUAGUUCUUUGCUUUUGUGUCUCUUUGGCUUGGCUCCUAGAAUAGUCUCUCUACUCUGAAAGUAGCAAGAUAUUCAGAAAACAAAAGGUCUGGAGCUUUUUCUGUGGGAGAAAAGCUGAAAUGAGCUUCUGGAUCAAAAGAGCAGAAGCUUCUAUUUGAACCUUCUGCUUAUGCUGCAGCUGCAAGCUAUUGAUCUUCAUGCAAAAACUGUCAGUGCUUUCUCAAGCAGCACUUCUGCAGAAGCUCUGGUUGGAGCAAACAGGCCCUAUGCAAGCUGUUAGAAGUGGUAAACCCUCUUUAUUUUAUGUUACAGAGAUAUCAAGCCUGAUAAUAUUUUACUAGACAGAGAUGGCCACAUGAAACUGUCGGACUUCGGUUUAUGCAAAUCUUUGGACUGCAAUUCGUUACCUGACCUACAUGAUUUAACUGAUGGAAUGACUAUACAUGUCGAUGGGCAGCCAUUCUUAUCUAAACGCUCACAGAAGGAACAACUACAAUGCUGGCGACAGAACAGGCGUAGCCUGGUAAACAGCUUAUCGAAGUUUGUUAGAUUUAUGCUACCUUUGCAGGCAUUAUAGUAUCUUCGGGGUGACUUCUGCACGUGUUUAUUCAAUGUAAUACUGAGGAUAGUAUUGAGGAGACUGGAAGCACUUCUCUACUUGAGAAACAGAAGCUAGGCAUUUGGCUAAAAACAUCGAGCUUCUAGCUAGAAUAGAGAAGCCAAAUGAGCUCUUAAAGACUCUGAGCUUCAAAAGCAGAAGCUCCACGUUGGGGCUUCUGCUUCAUGUAAAGCCUUGGACAGAAUUUAAUGAAUAAAAGGACUACUCAAGCAACACUGCUGCAGAAGCUGCAAACCUUAAUCUUCUCUAUUUCUCCAUUUUCAAGUUUGUCUGAAGCUAUUUUAAAAUCUGCAGGCUUACUCUACUGUUGGUACCCCGGACUAUAUCGCUCCAGAAGUUUUACUGAAGAAAGGAUAUGGAAUGGAAUGUGACUGGUACUGUUAUACCGUGGGCUGUUUCUCUAUUAUUUCGUUUUUUGGGUUAAAUGUCAUUUCUGCUUUCAUUGACAUGACUUGUUAUUCAUACAUGAAGUAUAUCUCUCUCCACUUGCAGGUGGUCUCUUGGCAUUAUUAUGUAUGAAAUGCUGGUGGGAUAUCCUCCAUUUCAUGCUGAUACACCUAUGGCAACCUGCAGGAAGGUGAAUACUAAUUGUAACUUAUGUGGUUGUUGUAUGGUUGUUAUAUGGUGUUUUCGAGUUCUUGAUACUUCGGAUUGUAUGAUAUGUUUGAAGUUUGGAUGUUCUAUUAAGUUUUUAGGAUUUAUAUUCGAAGCAAUCAUAUAACCAUUUCGUUCCUUCAUCUUGAUGAAUGCGGUUAAAAAUUGUUUCACCUUAGUCAUAUUCACAUAGAGAUGGAAAAUUCAAUUGCAAAUCUUUUGCUGAAACAAGAAUUAGAGCAGUUCCUAUGAUUUUGCAUGGAAGCUGGACUAAAUUGUUGUACAGCUAUACAUUAUGAGACCUUAACCUACAAAUUUGCCUUCGAAAUGGAACUUUGAGGCCUUUUUGAAUGGGCAAGCGUAGUAUGCCUUGUAUUAAUGAUAAUUUAAGUAUAAAAUUCAUGGUUUUCUUGGUUUCCUAUCUAUGACAUGAAACUUGUGUUAAUUUGUAAAGAUAUCAAUUUUCAUUUAUAACUUAAAAGCCAUAUCUGAUACUUAUGGAUAUUUUGCAGAUAGUAAAUUGGAAAACAUAUCUAAAAUUUCCUGAAGAAGCAAAAGUAUCUGCAAAGGCAAAAGAUCUCAUUUGUCAGCUCUUGUGCAAUCCUGACCGGAGGCUCGGUAGGCAAGGGGCCGGUGAAAUAAAGGUUGCUUUGUUUGCUUGGACUAAGUAAUGUAUUUCAGUAAUAAUUAUAUAGCACAUAUUAAACUUCUUGUUCUUUUGCCAUGUCAAAUUUCAGACUCAUCCUUGGUUUAAGGGCGUGCAGUGGAACAGAUUGUAUCAGAUGGAGGCCACAUUUGUACCUGAGGUUAAAAAUGAUUUGGACACCCGAAACUUUGAUAAGUUUGAGGAGGUUAGUUAUUUCUAAGUAGUUACUGUGGUUCUUUUUCGGCGUUUUUACAUUAUUACAUAGAUGUCCCUGCAAAAUCUAAAUUUUCAUGUAUACCUCUCAAGAAUGCAGUUCCUUACAAAAAUACUCUGUGUUUAAGUUGGCUUUGAUUCAUGGGAGAGGCAUUUUUCUUACCACAAAGGUUUACAUGUAAAGCAAGUGUUUGAAAUUGCAUAAGCAGCAAUCAGAUUCCUCAGAUAUACAUACAUACAUACAUAUAUAUAUAGAGUUGAGCUAGAAUACUAUCGAUAGCAAACGGGCUCCGUUGCCAUCCAUUUGUUUUCAAUGAUGGAGCCUCCGAAUCCACGAUUGGCACCGUUGACCAUGAUCUAUACCACUUGAAGUGUUUAGAAAUCAAUUUUCAUACAUUUCUAAUAUUGUUCUCUUAUCCAUCGAGUGGACACAAAAAUUAACGGUUGAAAAUGAAUAUUCUUUAAAAAAUGAUGAUAGGAGUCUUGUAAUCAAGAUCAAGGGUAUAGAUCUUGUUUUAAAUAGUUUAAAAAAUUUUCUAACAAAAAUUCAAUUGAUUUGGAUAUCUUUACGCCGUUAAACGAGAAAAUGCCUCAUAUCGACUAUUAAAAUUACAAAUUUUGAAACCUUUGAUCAUUAGGCAAAUGAUUUCGAAAAGAUUUGAAAUUUGAUUUCUAAACAUUUCAAGUGGUAUAAAUCAUGUUUAACAGUGCCGAUCGUCGAUUUGGAGGUUCUAUCAUCGAAAACAAAUGGGUGGCAACGGAGCCCGUUUGCUAUCGAUAGUAUUCUAGCUCAACUAUAUAUAUAUAUAUAUAUAUAUAUAUAUGGAUGUAUGUAUGUAUGUAUGUAUAAAUAGAUAGU